CCUGUGGUACCUGAAACAGAUAGUACACCAGCCAUAAUGGUAUGAUCUUGCCUUCUUAAAAGGGGGAUUUGCCCAAGCUAAGCUUAAGUGUAUCUUUUCUCCACGUUUUAAAUUUCAGUUUUUGCAUGAUCCAGAUAUUAUAAAAAGCUGUCUAAACAGAGUUGGACAAACUUACAUGUGCAUGUACUUUCACGUUUUUGUGAUUGAAUUAAAUUUAUUUCUCAUGUUUUACCUUGACAGAAAGGAGGGACACAAAUCUCUGAAGCACAAUCAAUCUCUGCCAAUGAUGGGAAAAGUGCUGAAAGUCUAAUUUCUAGAACAAAAUCAACUUCUGGCUCUGAGGGAAGCAUUACUGGAAGUCAGAUUCCUAGGAGGGAAUCAAACCCCACUUCUGAUGGGAUCAUUACUGGAGAUCAAAUUUCUAGAAGGGAAUUAACUGUCACCCCUGAUAGGAUCAUUACUGGAAAUCAAAUUUCUAGAAAGGAAUCAACCAUCACCCCUGAUAGGAUCAUUCCUGGAAAUCAGAUUUCUAGAAGGGAACCAAACUCUUCUCCAUCUGGUGGCAUCUUUACUGGAAGUCAAAUUUCUAGAAGGGAGUCAACCUCUGCUUCCGAUGGGAUUAUUGCUGGAAACCAAAUUUCUAGAAGGGAAUCAACUUCUGUUUCUGAUGGGAUCAUUUCUAGAAGGGAAGCAACCUAUGCUAAUGAUAGGAAUGGACCAAGUGGUUCUAUUACUGAAAAUCAAAUUUCUAGGAGGGGAUUGAGUUCUGCUAAUGAUGUGAAUGUCACUAUUAUUGAAAGCCAAAUUUCAAAGGGGGAAUCAAUCUCUGCUAAUGAUGGAAACAUAACUGAAAGUCUGAUGCAAACACAUGAUUCAUUCUUAAGCACUCUUCGAUCACGCUUGACAAAGUUGCAGGUAAAUUUGGCUGUCUGUUUGUGGAUAUAUUCAGCAGUUGCUUUGUAGCUGUUACUGCUUUUCUUUUUCUUGGAAUUACUAUAGCUUUGGGCAAAGAGAUAUUGAUACUUACAUAAUCAAUGAGUGCAGCAAUAGUGUACAAGUAACUAUGGUUUAGAUUAUGUGCAUAUGCAUCUAAACAUCUGUGACGGUGGCAAACUUUUGUUCUGGAGAAAAGAAAGCAAUUUAAGUUUAGUAAAAAGAAAAGCGGAAAAGAAAUUUCAGUACUUUGUUUGCCUCUUACAUGAUAUUUUUCUUGCAUUUUUUGGUCGGAUUUCUUAAUUGUUUUUAUGGUGAACUUGUAGGUGGUGCGGCAUUUUUGGGAAAAGAAUGACAUUAAAGGUGCAAUUGGUGCCUUGCGGAAGCUACCAGAUCAUUCUGUGGGUAUUUAUGGGAAGAUUUCAUGUGUGUUGCUUUAUUCUGUUUGUAAUGAUGGUUACAAGUAGUAACUAGAUGCGUGUCAUGCAUAUUCUCACAUGCUUAGACCCAAUUACUUCUGGUGCAGGUGCAAGCAGAUGUAAUCAGUGUUCUCAUGGAAAAAAUGGAGAUUCUCACCUUAGAUCUGUUUUCUGGCCUAAUUCCUGUGCUUAUGGGCUUAUUAGAUAGCAAAAUGGAAAGGUACUUUUCAAAAUAAACUUGUAGUUUGUUGUAUGGGAAGAUAUUGUUCUAGAGAUUUACUCCAUCCUUUGCUUUCAAGAACAAAAUUUCCAUCUCUUGAAAAAUAAAAUAAUAAAGGGCGUAUCAAGAUAUGAAUUCCUUUUGGGCAUGUGGGUACAAAUUUGAUUUAUGGUGUACCUCAUUUUUCAACAUUUAAGCAAUGGGCCUUUCUCCUUAUGAUGCUCAUACUGAUGUUUGUGCUUGUGAUACGAAUAUACAGGCAUGUAAAUGUCUCAUUGGAGAUGCUCCUGAAGCUUGUAGCAGUUUUUGGUCCAAUGAUACGCUCUACUGUUUCAGCCCGACGUGGUGUUGGCGUUGAUCUUCAUGCUGAGCAGAGGUGCUAUUGAUUAACUUAUUUUAUUGAUAUCUGCUUUUCAGUUUCUCGACUAUAAUAUUAUGGGUUUGACGGAGCCACUAUGAACUAACUGUUUUUCAAAAUUUGAACAAAGGCGGGAAUGUUGCAAUCAAUGUUUUAUGCAGCUGCAAAAGAUUCAGAAACUUCUUCCACCACUUGUAAGGUGAGAUGCUAUUGGAGUUGUUGCAGCUGAUAUUGUUACAUAAAAGGAUUUAGGAACGUACUUCAUAAAUUUCAUAAUUGCAGCUGACGUUGUAAUGAUUACUCAAUAUCCUUAGCGGCAGUUUGCCUAUCAUGAUGUUUAUAUGCUUUGAACAUCCAGCUGUUGAAGCCUAGAGUAGCAUAAUUGGUUUCCUAGCUGGGUGAAGAGCCACCAUGAUGAAAUUUCAUUUUCUUUGUGUUACUACAGGAGAGGUGGUGCCAUAGCAAGAUGUGCCGAGGAAUUGAAUUUAGUUCUUCAAGAAUGAUGAUGAAUGCCGCCAUCUUAAACCCAUCUGCUGCUGAAGCAUGAAAAAGAGUGGCUGGGCUGACACCUUCUUAUAAAGAUUCAAGUGUCAUAGAAGGCCUUUUCUUUUCUGUAUCUUACAUCUUGGAUACACAAUUUUGUCUUUGCCACCUUACUUCAUCCUGCUCUGCCCGCGUUUGCCGGUACCGGACUGCUUUAGCUUGAGUCAGUAUCAUUGCCUGUAACCCGUCACGUUUUGAAGAUGGAAGAAGCCAGCCUGUGAACCUCACAAUGCUUCUGGUACACCACGGAAAUUUCCUUUUGUCAUUCUUUGAUUCAGUAUAGUGCUGUUUGUAAUCUUCGUGUUAAAAAUAUAUGUGAGCAUAUCCCAAUGCAAAUAUACUCUGCGAUAAUAUCCAAUGAAAUAUAUCAAUUCCUUGAAAGCUUCUUUUUCCUAGAGAAAUGUCAUUCUAUAGCUAUAAGCAUUGAUUAAACUAUUUCUUAUAGUUAAUGUAUUAUUGAUCAAAUUAUGUAAAUAAUUCUUAUGUUUUAUAAAAAGAAAGAAUGUGAAUUUAAUUUCUAUAUAAUAAUUUAGAUAAAUUGAGUCAUGUACUUUAUUAAUUUGGUAAUUUCAAUUUAAAUAAUUUUUUAAUUGAGAUGACGUGGUCAAGAAUUAUAGCAAGAUUUACAGAGUGAACAGUUGUGAGGCUAGCUAGCCUCAUCACCAUUAAAGAGCCAGGCCAGCCAAUAAAUUCUCCAGUCAUGGGUUUGACAAGUGGCAUGCAACAUGCCAUGUGGUAACCAUAAGCAUCCGUAUGUCCAAUUGUUUUUUCUUUGUUUUAUACGUAAACAUCAUCACCUUCAGCCACAUUCAUUAGGCAUUAGCUUUCCUACGUCGCAGGUUACUACGUAAUCCGCCGAGCCAUCAACACGUGUCUUUCCCGAGGAGGCCGCCUUCCAUUGCCUUGAAAUUACGAAAGCCAAUCAUCAAUUUUUCUUUGUUGCUAAAAUUGGUCAGUUCAUGCAGUCUUCUGGACUUUGCCAAAGUCUUUCCCUUUCCCUUUCCCUUUUAAGGAAAACCUAAGCUUUAGGAGUAAGAAAUUUUUGUUACACUAUUUGGAAAAACAAAAACAUAGUUCAAAAUAUUUUAUAUAUUUAUACAAGAUCAUUAAAAUAUAAAAACAUGAAUAAUCAAUCUAAACACGAUCCAAUAAAUAAAAAAAUAUUAUUUCGUUUCGAAUUCGUUUAGGAAUAUCAAACAAUCAUCAAUUUUCUUUGUUCCUAAAAUUGGUAAGUUCCUGUAUUCUUCAAGAUUUUGCUAAAAUUUUCUCUUUCUCUUUUAAGGAAAACCUAAAUAUUAAGAGUAAGAAAAUCGUUAAUUUUAACUAACAAUUCAAAAAUAUCUUAUAUUUAUACAAAACGAUUAAAAUACGAAAAUACGAACUGUCAAUCUAAACAAAACCCAACAAGUAUUAUUUCGUUUCGGGUUUGUUUUAAAAUACCAAACAACCAUCAAUAAAUUCUCCAAUUAAAAGGCACGUGGAGAGGGACUAGUAGCACGUUCAUAUCUUAUCCAUUCAGGAACAUGUCCCUUUGGUUAACCAAUAUGAUUAAGACAUCCAACGAUUCAUUAAUCAGACGUUGGAAUAAAGUGUGGUCAGUAGUGAUAGUGAAACGAAAUAUACAAGAAAAUUCACAGUGAUUGGUUACCGGGAAAGGUUUGAGCAAGUCAACCAUGGAUGAAGUCUUUGGUAACGAAGACUUAAAGGAGCCAAAAAAAGAAAAAGAAGGUUUUGCAAGAGACUUUUCUUCUGACCUACUUUGUCCAAAUUAAAAUAGCUAAAAAAGGGGUCAAAUCAUAUUCUAUGCUUGUUUUUUAGGCUAUUAAAUCUAUACUUUUUGUUUUUUUGACAAAUAGUAAUAUAUUUAAAUUAUUGUAACAAAUUUAUGUAAAAUAUCCGAAAUAAUUUUUAAUUUGAUUUAAAUUAAACGAUAAAUAUUUCAUUUUUAUAAAAACAUAUUAUUAUAUGUUUUAUUUUAACGAUCAUAAUAUACUUAGGUUUGUGUAACAUGUUUAUGUAAGAUAUUGAAAAUAUCUUUAAUUCAAACAAUUUGAUAAUUAAUUAUUAAGAUAAUUAAUGAUAUUUAAUUAGGUUAAAAAUUAAUUUAUUAAACAGAAUUACAAAUACUUAGUAGAGAAGGCGAGGACAACAAUUUUAUAAUAAUAUUAUUACAAAUCCAAUGUAGCCAUCACAAAUCCCUUGAAAAGAGAAGGCUCCUAGGCUAUGACGGUUUAGUACAACUCUUUUAAUUUAAUGACAUUCCUGUACUUCUAUAUUAACAUAUUUCUUUUAAUUUUUUUUAUUUUAUAAUAAAUUAAAAAAAUUAAUAAUCAUUACAAAAUUACAUUUUAAAAAUAUAUUACAGAUCUUAGAUCAGGGUUACGUUAUUCAAUAAUUAUGUCUUUUAGAUUGAAAGUACGGAUCCGUAACACUUAUAUGUCGAAAAACUACUUUAUUUAAUUAUUUCUAUAAAUAUGUAAUUUGAUGCUAAUUAUAGAAUGAUAAAUCCUAAUUAAGAAAGGAGUUGAAUGUCAUUUAAAGUAAAGAAAUUGGAAAUAGACCGGCGAUUAGGUCAAUCCAGUGUGUCCGCAAACAGAAAAGCUAAAGAAAAGACAACCCCUGUUUUUCUAACCAAACCAAAAAUAAAUAAUAAAUAAUUAAAAAAAAAACCUGAAAAAACAAAAUUAAAAUUCCCUGCCUUUAAAUUAAUAAAUAAAAGAAAAAAAAAACAGAGUCUUUUCGUUGUCCCAGACUCCGAUGUUCUCUCCAUUUUCUUACUUUAAAAACAAAAAUCCAAUCUUUUAAUUUUUCCCUAAAAAAAAAAACAAUCUUUAAUCUCUCUCUGUCUCUGUCUCUCUCUUCAAUUUACAGACUUUUUUCUUUGGCUUUGCUUUUUGGCUAUUUCCAUUACCAUUUCAAAUAGGAAAUUUCGAUACCCUUUUAAACGAAUUUUUGAAAAUCCUUUGAAAUUUUUGUUUUUUGGGGAGAGGGUGGCGUUCGGUGAACUUGUGCCGGAGAAAGGCGGUGGCUUUUGAAAUUUUGGUUUUGAAUUUUCUGGUGGGGGGUCGUUGUUUGAAGUUGUCGUGGUCGUACACGUGGAAAUGGGAACGGAGAUGAUAACGGGGAGGUGGGGCACGUGGGAGGAGCUUUUGUUGGGUGGGGCGGUUCUCCGGCACGGUACCCGAGAUUGGAACCUCGUCGCCUCGGAGCUCCAAGCCCGAACCAUUUCUCCGUUUGCUUUCACUCCCGAGGUUAUUAGCCAAUUUAAUAUUGUUUAAUUCAAUUAACGAAAUUUUAUUUGAUAUGUUCGCAUUCUUUCUUUUUUUUUUUACCGUUGAGAAAAAAAAUUUUUGAUUGGAUUUUAUUUAUUUCCCCCUUUGUUUUGCCUUAAUUAUUUUGGAAUUUAUUCAUAAUAUUAUUUCUUUUUUUAUUUAUUAAAGAAAUUGGAAUGUAUGAAGACAGCGACAUGAAUGGGGAGGGAAGGGAGUUUCGUUACAUUAUAUGUGGCUAACAAGUUUGACUUUGACUACCGUGAUGUUCUAUUUGCAUGAUUUUGAUUUUGAUUAUGGUUAUACUUCGUAAUUAAAUAUCUUUUUAUCCUUUAUUUAAAUGAAGAUGUGGUCAUUGGUCAAUGUCAAUGAGGAAUGGGCUUGCUUGGGUAAUGGGGAAAUGGCUUGUCACGUGAUACACGCGUGACCAAUAACGAUUAGUGUAUGAUCUUCAUUCCAGGGCGGUUUUUAGCAUAAUGUUUUGAGGAAUGAAAGAGGAGUAGGAAAGUAAUUAUGGCUUGAGUUGGAAAGUUUGAAAUUUUAGGAAAUGAGGGUCAGUAGGAUCCAAUUAAAAGCUAAUUAAGACAGCAAUUAGUGUCCACUAAUGUUACUCAAUUAGCCUCUUGACUAAUGCAUGAUUUUGUUGGGUGCAAGCUACCCCUCAAAACCAUGGUUUAAAACUUUAAAGUUUGCUACAACCUAGGCUUGGCCUAAUGUUUGUUAACGAAGAUUAGAGGUUCGAAUCCUGCCUUCCUCUUGGACGUUAUACGUACAAAAGAUAAAAAGUAAAGUUUUGAAUUAGUUCAGGGAUGUAGUUUGGUUUACGGGAUGUUUAUAGCUUGAUAUACUCUUUAUUAGUGGUCCUAUUAUUCAUUGUGAAUGUUUGAAGUUAUUAUGAAUACUAUUUCUAAUGCGUCGGUAUGGACCAACCUUUUUAUAAUUCAACUAUAUGAGUAAGGAUGUGCUUUUAUUGUAGUAAUUUGAACUCUUCCUUGUUCAGUCAGGAAGGAGUAAUUGAAUAGUAGUGCAGCUGUUACGCAGUCUAUUACAUUAUUUGCUAACAUGCUUAAUUUAAUAUUUUUAUUUUCAUAAAUUUUAUCUGAUGAAGUGGUGCCUGAAUGCAGGUUUGUAAAGCUAAGUAUGAGGAUUUGCAACAACGUUACUCAGGUUGCAAGUGAGUAAUCCUGUCCAGAGUUUGUUCACAUGUUUGCAAAAUUACAUUCUGAAAUAUGGUGCAUUAUUAACAUUUGUAUUUCGUUUUACUUCUUAGAGCUUGGUUUGAGGAGUUACGCAAACAACGAAUGUUAGAGCUGAGGCGAGCUUUAGAGAAAUCUGAAGAUUCAAUUGGGUGAGUAAUUUGCCUUUAUUGCCAACCAGGAUUUAGUAGUUCAGCACAUUUAUUCCUCUUAGGCAAAUGCAUAAUGCUUCUGGUGCGAGUCUUGUUCCUACACUCUUCCUUGAAAUUUGUCAUGGAUUUAGCUGUUGAAGUUCCCAAAUACCAAAUUCCUUAAGAAGAUUCUCUGGUUUAAACUAUAUACAGAGCACAGAUUCUCAAGUAUCCUUCAAAGGUUGCUUGCUGAAGUAGUAAAAGAGAAAAUCAUGACCUGGCUAUGGUCCUGGAAGAGCUUUUCUGGAUAUAGUCCGAACUUUUUUUGUUGCUUAAUGCUGCAAAUUUAACUUAGUAAAGAUAUGCUUAAGUGAGUUUCAGAAUUUAAUAUGAACAAUUCAAUUAAGUUUUUAAUUUCAAAUGUCUAAAAGAACAACUACUGCUGGUUUUCUUUUAAAUAAGGACACAUGCUAACUUAGGAAUUUGAUCUUGGUUACUUUGGACUUUUCAUUUUUUCUGGAUUCUUUACGUUCUAAAAUGUGCAUUCUUGUGUUUAUAUUGCAAUGGACUCAUUUUAGUCCUUUUCAGGUCGCUGGAAUCAAAGCUUGAAAGUUUAAAGGCUGAGAAAAGAGAUGAUUCUCGAAUUGAUUAUGAUUCCAGUCAGACAGUAUCUGCCAUACCAUGUCUUAAAUCUGAGGGAGUUGAAUUUUCUAGUAAGGACACAUCUAAGGAUGACCUCUCUGCUGGUAGUUUCACACGGGAAGCCCAGACAAACUGGUCACCUCAUUGUCAGAUUCCAGCUGCGGGGCCUGCUGAAGAGAUGGAUAUGAAGCCAGGAGAAUCACUGGCUUCUGAGAGGGAGAAAGUUUCAAGCAUUGAUAAGUUAGCAGAUACUUUCUGUGGAGGGCAGUUCCAGAGUAUAAGGAAGAGGAGGGGGAAAAGAAAGAGAAAGGAUUGCAGUAGGGAUGCCAAAGAAGGAAGUGUUGGAGAAAGUGAGUUUCUAGGUCCAGCUGAUGUUGCUAGUGCCUCACCUUGCAAAGAAACUUCAGCUAGCAACUCUGCUCAGAUUGCCAGAUCUUCAGGCAUUGAGGAUCAGAGCGGAGGUUCAAGCAAGGAAGGCAUUGAUGCGAUGAUGGGAAUAUUUAGUUCUGUAGCAGAGAAUUAUUGCGCUUCUGUCUUUCGACGAAGGCUUGAUAGUCAGGUAAGGACACUAUUCUAAGUUUUGUUUGUUAAUGAUGUCAAUUUCUUUUUUGAUCUGCUCUUAAGUUGCACCAAGCUUUGGCUUCGGUUAAUUGCAGCAAGGCUUAGUAUUGAUAAAUGGAUUGUCUUAACUUUUUUUUCUUUUCUCUCACACAGAAAAGAGGAAGAUACAAGAAGAUGAUUCUGCGGCACAUGGAUUUUGACACCAUAAGAUCAAGAAUAGCCAGUAAUUCCAUCAUGUCUGUUAAGGAACUGUUUCGCGAUAUGUUAUUAGUUGCCAACAAUGCCAUGGUAUUUUAUUCCAAGAACACGCGUGAAUAUAAAUCUGCACUGCUCCUGAGACAUAUUGUGACUGCAACUUUGCGACAACAUUUCAAGGAGUAUGGGAGUAAAGUUCCUAUCACUACCUUUACAUCUAGCAGACCUAUGCAUAAGCUUCCUGCAAAGCCUCGAAGCAUUCGCCCUGGUAAUCGAAAACUGCCAGGAAAAGCAGCAAACAAUGGGAAUGCAGUAGUUGGGGUUUCUCAUGCAAGUAAAAAGACAGCCAAUGCUGAUUCUCCUCCAUCAGUGGAGUCCUUACCAGUGACGAAGAAGGGUUCUUCUCAGCCAAGAAAAGUGGGCAGCGGACGUGCGAGUCAAAAGUCCGAAAGUCCAAUGAAAGGAAGAAAGAGAGCUCGAGCUCGGUGAUCAUGUUGUACAAUGUAUAUUGAUCUUUUUGUCUCCAAUUUUAAAACCCGUUUGUAGCUCAAUGUUCUGAAUUGUAUAAAGGUGUCUAUAGUCAUCUGGUGUAUAAAUUUUCUCCUUUUGGAUAAACAGUUGCAGAACUGCAUUGUAAUACUAACAUUAGUCAUAGGCAAUGAAAGAGAGCAAAAUAAGAAAAGAAAAAGGAAACCCUGUUUGAUCUUAAAGUUCUCUUCCUUUUGGAUAAGCAAUGGCAGAACAUUCUAAUUUCUUGUCUAAUUGUCUUGCAUACUUGGACUAAAUUGUACUCUCCAAGUCUGGUAUUUGUAAUUGCUUUUGCCCUUGCCAUCAUUGAGUUGUCCCAUGUUUUGGAUUCAGAAACUGGUGGGCUGGCUUUGGCAUUUUCAUUUUAAAGGAGCCGAUUUCAUCAGGGCCUUGGCUCAUUGUGUGAAUGACUGGGGCUAGCUCUACUCCCUAGGGCUUGAGGAAAUUCUCACGUUUAGACUCGGCUAAACUCAACCACCUAGAAAAAGGGUGGUAGGAGUCAAGAGACAAUGAUAAGCAGAAGCAACCUAAAGGAAAGUAUAUUGCAUGGGCCAUGCCCACAAAAUCAUUGGAUUGCACAUUGCACACAAAAUUUGAGGUAUGGCCACAAUCAUAACCCAACUUGAUUAAAAAAAAAAGGGUAUUGAAAUCAUAGUACAAGGCUUCAGUCCGAAGCAUUUUUUCAAUAAAUUUAAUCUUCACUUGGUCGCCCCAUGCCAAAUUUGCUCGGUUGUUGGUAACCUCUUUUGCUAGGAUAAGCAAUGACCUUAACAACUUCCAUGAACAAAAUCACUUAGUUUUCAAGCAACUUGAGCCACUCCCCUGGUUUCUUCAUGCCAAAACAUUCACGAGGUAAGCAACCAGCACCAACUAGAUCGAUCCGAUAUAGACAAGUAAAUACUGUUGGGGUUUGAUAAUUAUGUCCAAGAAAAAAGGAUCAUUAGCCGAAAGUUGCUCAAAGGAUUAAGAUAUAUCUGUUUCUACAGUUUGCUCUAAAUAUGCAAUGAACCAGCUUAGCAUGUGCAUGACCACCCACACAUAGUUAUGAAUCAUUGCGGCCAUUAACUCUGUUCCAGCGGCAUUCAAUACAAUGUUUGCAUGUUUUGACUGUGUUAAAACAUAGAGUAAACUGCUGCAAACCUAAGGCUGGGCCGGGGGUGGGUGGGAAGACCUAUGGCAAUGGAGAAACUUCAGCACUUUCGAGUUGUUGCUUGCUUGGCAUGUGUGAGACCAAAACCCUGGUCUUCCGUUGCCCCAAAUUCUGACCUAUGUUUUGUUUUUUGCCCCUAAGCUAAGCUCUCGAGAAACCGAAACAUGCUUUUAGGUGACCUAAGCCAUAACAAACUUAGGAACCACUCUUCACCUUCCCCAGCUACAUUAAACAAAAACCCAUACAUUAGGAAAUAAAAAAACCAUGUUAAUCAAUGUACAAGCCCUCUGUCUUUUUCCAACCCUUUAUUUUAUUUUUGUUUUUGGAACAAGUAUCAAAAGCCAAUGCCCUUUCCAUUUUUUUAUUGUUGCUACCAUUCCAUCAAGUGCUUUGCACCAAAUCUUGCAGUUUGAAUGGUUGGUUUCAAUCACACAAACUUAAUCCAAUUUACGAUUUUGAAUAUAUACACACACACAUAUAUAUAGAUAUAUGUAUUUAUGAACAAUUUGUGACAGGCACGAUUGUUUGAUCUCAACCAUUUCUUCUGCAUGAACUAUAUAUUACUCUCACAUGUUUCUCCAUUUUUUUCUUAAUUUUAAUCAUGUUUGAUUAGUUUUGUGAUCCUAGGAAUACAUGUAAGCAUUUGAUUAAUAAUUCUAAAUAUAUAUAUAUAUAUUUUGAAAUCUCCACCACAAUGUUUUAUUGUAUACUUGACACUUAUUAUUUAUAUGAUUUAUCUAAUAGUUACUGUUACUCAUAUUUGUAUAUUUUAAUUAAACCCGAAUUUAAAUGAUUGUAAUUCACAUAGUUAUGUUUACGGGAUGAAAAAAAAUCAUAUCUCACUGUUUAAUUAAUGUCAAAUCACACCUUCACCCACCCCACCUCAAUCAUAAAUGGCAUAGAGAUUAAUUGAAUGAGAAAACAUAUGUAUAUAUAUAGGUUACAUUUAAUUAAGGCACUCAACUACCACCAAGUCAACAUCAUCUCCACUAAUAAUGAACAAUGCAAAUAAGAUAUAUAUAUAUAUAUAUAUAUAUAUAUAUAUAUAUAGUUAAAUCUUGAUAUGGGUUUUACUUUAUAGUAAGUAUAUAUAAUAUGCAAUUGCUUUUUUUGUGAUAACCAUAAUCAUAUAUGAAUUAAAUGAGGGCAAGUUAGAUUUGAUUUAUACUAAAUAAUAAUACUAGAUUUGAAAGUGUAGGUCCGUGAGCAAAAUUGUUCAUUAAUGACUCACCUUCAUCCAUAUGGCUAGGUUCAUCUUUUGGCUCCCACAAAGCACUCACUCUCACAUGAACUAUGUGAUCCUCCUCAACCUUAGAUUCAUAGCAUCUUUCCCUAAUCACAUUUAUUUAACCUUUUGACUCUUUGCCUAUGGUAGAUCAAGAUCACUUGAAAAGCUCACAUACUAUAUUAAUUGUCAUAAAAAUUAUUUUUAUUUUAACUUAAACUUUUUAUAUGCAGAUUAAGAACCAAAAAAAAGGGUUUACUUGAAUGAUUAUUUUUAUUUUUGAUAUGCAAAACAAGCAUGCCAAAAUGAUAAAUUCAAGAUGGAUGGUAUAUCUCGAGAACAUGGAAGAAUACGCCGUAUACUAAUUAAUUCUAGCCGUGGCAGAAAAGGCAGCUGAUUAUCCUGCCAAAGCUUUCUUUUUUUGCUUCGGGCACCGUCUUUUCUGCUUCCUGUCGAGAUUAUGUUACCAAAACUUGAGAUUAAUAAGUUGGCUUAAACCCAAUUGGCUUGCACUUAAGCUAACUCUCACGUGGAAUCAAUCAGCUAAACCAAAUCUCUAUUUUGUUUCUUUUAUUAUUUGCUUAAGAAGUUCAAUUACUUUAUUUAUUUAUUUAUAAAUAAUAACAGAUAAAGUACCUGUACUCAAAUUUUAUAAACAUUGGUAUUAAUCUUAAUUUCUUCUCAUCACAACGUAAUAUGAAAAUUGAUUAAAAUCUUUCAAUAAUUAUAAAAAAUAAAAAAGAUGGUAAAAGUACUUUGAUCCAUGUGUGAGGGAGGGAGAGGAGUCCAAAAUAAGAGGAACGUAGAGAGGGAGAGAUGGUGAAAGGAAGUAAGUAUGGAAAAGGGGUAAGAGAAGGGUUUGAGUGAGACAGACGAUGACAUUGUUGGUUGCAGCUGUUCUGUUGUUACAUGAAAACUAGAAAAAAAAUAUAUAUUAAAAGAAGAAAGAAAAGAAAAGAGUAAUUGGGAGGGGGAGAGGGAGCUGUCGCAGGGGCAGUCGUCGGCGAUCCGCAGCUCGACAACUUAUAUAAAACCAAGCUAAAACCCAGACCCCCGAUGCAAAAGACAGGCAAAAACAAAAGAACCCCAAAAUUUCUUUUCAUUUCUUCUUCUUCCACUUCUGCAUGCCCCUUUGAAACGUGGCGCUGCUUCCUCCUUUUUCGUUUCCUCGUCGACUCUUUCCUUCGUUCUCCUAUUUCUUUCUCUCUUGUUUUUUUUUUUUUUGCUUGAUUCAUUCGCUCAUUGUGGUUUAUUGAAGCGGACGACCGACAUUUGUCCUAAGCUUCCGCUUUCGAUCAGUCACCUCGCUUCCUUUCAGUCUCCAAGGUCCGUAAUGCAUUCUAUAAUCUCUCCUCUGUUUACGCUUUAAGACAAUGGUGGAUCAAGAUCCGGUUUUUUUGAACUUUAUUUUCGCUUAUACAGCUUCUCUUAUUCUUUCUUUCUUGCGGUUGUUUUUUUUUUUUUGUCAUUGAAGAAAUUGGGGUUCAAGCUUAUAGAGAUUGUUUUAGCUUAUGGGAAUUUUCUCUUUUUCACUUCGAUCCUGUUUCUCUUUAUUUUUUCAAUCUAAAAAUCGAAACUUUUGUAUUGUUCUUUCAUUUUUUUAAAAAUUUCUUUUCGAGUUUACAUUUCUACCGGGAGCUUAAAAUAGUAAUGGCUGCACUCUUAGAUCUAACAAAUACUCAAAACAACUCAUUUUUUCUGUUUCAGGCAACGAUUUUCUUUUAAUUUCUCAUAAUCCAAAUGACCCUUUAAUCUCAGGCUCCAUUCAUUCUUUGAUUUUCUUUUUUCUUCUUUUUAAUUUCCAACAGUUAUUGUGAAGUUUUGAUGAUUGAAGGAAAAGUUCUGGUUGCUGUUAAAUCUUUGUAACUGGGAUUCUGUUCUGUUCUAGAUUUUGUGGGUGUCGGUCUAGUUUCCGAAUUUAGAAUGGCAUUGUGAAGCUUUAUUUUUUAUUUUUACCCUUUUGAGACCCGCACAUGCUUCAACUUAUUUAGCAAGGACCCUCUUUAGUUUUACUAUUUAAUGGCUCCACCUAUUUCAUCACUUCUCCUCCAUCUCCUUUUCUCAGGUUUUGAUCUAUUUUAUCUUCCUUUUCCAGCUUCCAAUUCCUUAUGUCAGUUGCUGAAUCAAAAAUAAAAUAAGGAUCAAAAUGAAGAACUGGGUCUUUUUGUUAAUUUGAUUUAUGGUUUCAGUAGAAAAUUAAGUCAGUAGCUUAUUAAUUGUUACCUUUACCUAGAAAACGUUUAAUGUAAUUUUUUUCUCUUUGCAAUGCAAUUUCCUGCAGUUUGUUAUGAGGGCAAUAUAAAAGCUUUGAUUGUCUAUGAAGACAUUUGAAUCGUGGGAUGCGCUUGUCAAGAAAAGGAAUGCUUUAUCUGAAGGGGUAUGCUCUUACUUUUACUUCAAGUCUGAAGGCCUUGAAAAGUAGAAGUUUUCAUAGCAUUUUUACUUUUGAAGCUUCUAAAUGUCUGCUGCUGUUGCAGGGAAACUGCGGAUUUAAAAUGAAGCAGCUUCCAUUUAUGGGAGUUAUUUGUGCAGUUAUGUUGUUCAUUGUGUAUAGAACCACAAAUUAUCAAUACCAUGAGACAGAGGUAUAUCAACUCCCCUUAUUCUCUAGAUUUUACUGCUUUUGAUUUACAAUUAGGAGAGCAUGAGGUUCGUUAUUCCUGACCUUGUAGUGGUCAACACGCCCAGUAAUUCCUCAGUGGCAUUGGUUGAGUGGAAUAAGGUGUCUGAUUAUUCAGAAGAAUGAAUGACUCACCUUUUUGAGGCUUGUUAAAGCUAUAUUCUGAUAUUUCUUAAAUGCUUCUUUUCUCUUAUUGUCAGAUGGAAUCAAAGUUGCACCCUUUUGAAACAGUAAAGGUAAGUGUUUAAGUAUUAUAUAUCAUGCAAAAUCAGUUUUUCUUUCCUAUUGAUGCCUGAAUUUGUAGAACUUGAAACUUUCUCCUUGGUUUGUCUUCACACUAUGUUUCAGUAUAAGUUAAUGUUAUUGUAGUUCUUUAUUCAUUAAGUGCUGGCCUUGGUACUCUGUCUGGAUGCGUUUCCUUCAUCAUCAUUUUUUUCUUGACUUCUGAGUUGCGUAUUAUGUUUUGUCUAGGAUUAUCGAUUGCCUUCUGGGAAAUUAAAAAGUUUGCCUCGUGGCAUCAUGCAUGCUCAUUCAGAUUUGGAACUAAGGCCUCUAUGGUCAAGGAGCAGUUUGCGGUCAAAGGUGAGAUUCUAAUCCUUUUAUAUGCUGGCAUGAAUUCGUAUGCGAAGAUCUGAAUGUAGCCCAUAGCCAACUAUUUUUUUGUUGUUUUUGGUUUUCUUCCUCCUUACUUUUCUCUUUGAAUGGAUAAAGUAAUGGAUGAUCUUGGUAGGCUUAACAGGUCUACUGAAUUUUGUACUUAUCUGCUGGAUUUUUGCUAUUCUUGCAAAAAGAUCAGAUUGUUUGCAAUUGGAUGGCUAUUUUAUUGCAGGUUAAUGUUACCAUGAAUAAGAACUUGCUGGCAAUGCCUGUUGGUAUCAAGCAAAAAGAAAAUGUUGAUGAUAUUGUGCAAAAGGUAUUGCACCUUGUCCUGUUGACCUUCAAAUUUGAUGAACUGCACAUUCUUUGCCUAAUUUUGUUGAAUUCAGUUUCUUGCAGAGAAUUUUACCAUUAUUUUAUUCCAUUACGAUGGUCAUGUGGAUGGAUGGUUGGAUCUUGAGUGGGGUGACAAAGCUGUUCACAUAGUAGCUCAUAACCAAACAAAGUGGUAAGACUCAUUGUUGGUAAAAGGAUUUCUUUUGUUCUUUGUCUAGUGAAACAUGUUGGAUUUGUAUACUUGGCUUGAAGUAUAUCUGAGCACAGACUGCCAAAAUUGUAGUUUCUCACGUAAGUAGUUUCUGAUGAGUUAACUUAUUUUAUCUCUUGGAUUCAAAAUGUAACCCAUUUCAUAAUUCAACCAAUAGGGUAGUUGGGGAAAUAAGGUUUUGAGUCAUUUUAAAUUGGAGUCUUCUGACUUGGGACUUACUGUAAAAAAUAAGGUCUGUCUACUGGAAUUCCCUGAUCAAAUUGCCAAAAUGAUCAUUGUCCUUGUUGCCACUUCUGUAUGGUGAUUCUAAGUCUACCUGACUCUGGAACGACAAGCACAUUAAUAACUUUUUCUUUUAAUUGGAUACGCUUACUGAUCUCUUCCCUCUUUCAGGUGGUUUGCAAAGCGCUUUCUACAUCCAGAUGUUGUGUCUAUUUAUGACUACAUAUUCCUCUGGGAUGAAGAUUUGGGAGUGCAGCAUUUUGAUCCAGGAAGGUAUAAGGUUUUAUGAUAUUUCUGUUACCUGCAAUAUCUUGAUUUUCUUGUGCUUAGAUAUAUUAUGUGGUAUUUGACAAUAAUAUAAGCUCCUUUCUGGUUUUCUCAACUCUUGGUUCAAUCUUUCCUUAGUUACUAUUUGUGCUUUAUGAGGCUUUUGUUUGUUGCUUAAUGACAGGAACAUAUUCUCAUCUGGGGAAAACCUAAACAAUUUUAUUAAUUGGAAUGUCUUCUCCAGGUACCUAGAAAUUGUGAAAGCAGAAGGUUUGGAGAUUUCUCAGCCAGCUUUAGACCCAAAUUCAACAGAAAUACACCACAGAAUCACUAUCCGCGCAAGAAUGAAGAAGUUUCAUAGGUGAAUGGGAUGGUCCUUUUCUCCGGACUAUUGAUAAGUUACACAUUAUUAUCUGUAUACUUACAUGAAAAGUUUUGGCAAGCACAGGAGAGUCUAUGACCUCAGAGGUAAAACAAAGUGUACGAGUGCAAGUGAGGGGCCACCAUGCACUGGGUGAGUUAUUUUAUCAUAACAUUGCUUGGUAGCAUCAUAGAAUGUUUUUAACCAAUUUAAUGACAAAAACCUUUUAAAGAUUUGAUAAACUGAGCAAUCUAAGUGUCCUAUGUUCUGUCAUUAUACUUGGUAACUUAAGUGUCAUGGACAAUUGCUUGGAUUUAUGCCCUAAAAAGGAUUUGCUACCAUUUCAUCUUCUUUACUCCAUCUGAGAUCAUCUGUUUAUGGGUUGGUGAAGCUGCCUGACUGUCCAGUAGAUGAGACUGACGAUAACCAAUUGAUGAACAUCUGAAGAAUAUUUAGCGGCAUUGUCUGAUCAGUCAAUAGUAAUUUGGUUUAUUCAUAUUAACUUUGUAGUUUUGUGGAGGGAAUGGCUCCUGUGUUUUCAAGAUCGGCCUGGUAUUGUGCAUGGCAUCUCAUACAGGUGAUCAUCUUGCAUGCUACCAUUUCUACAUAGAAUUUUAAUGAUGGCAGUGUUGAUUCUCUGCCUUGCAUUUAAAAAUGAGCUACUCUUUCCUUUUCUCUUAGUUUGCAGCAGACAUAUGUAUCAUAUCAAGUACCAUUUUCUUGUUUUCUGUUUAUUUUUUCUAUUAAUACCGAGCCCUUUUCUUUUUAUUAUUUUCAUUCAGAAUGAUCUUGUUCAUGGAUGGGGAAUGGAUAUGAAACUUGGAUAUUGUGCACAGGUAAGGUUUCUGUGCAAGAUUCGCUUGAUGCUAUUUUGGACCCUUUUAGCCUUGUCGACUACUCAUUCUUUAUAUUUCAUUUCAUUUUUCAUUCUAGUGAACAAAUAAUUCUGUGGACAGCUGAGAAAUAUAAUCUUUAUAAUUUUUUUUUGAAUAUUUAUAAUUAAUACAUAUGUUAAUGAUCAGGGUGAUCGCUCAAAGAAGGUGGGUGUGAUUGAUAGUGAGUACAUUGUUCAUAAGGGUAUUCAAAGUUUGGGUGGGAGUGGGCAUUCCACAAUGACGACAACAAUAAAGGUUCUGCUUUGCUUCCUUCCCUUCCUUGUUUUUCUGUUUUAUUUGCGUGAUUUAAUUUGUUUCUGUUAUUCUAUUGACUGCGAUCCGGUGGUUCAAUUUGACACCAUCAAAACAGCAUAUCGUUCUUUGCCAGAAAAAGAAAAAGGCAUAUCUAUCAUCUUAAUUUGCUGGUAUUUCUCAGGAGGCUAACGGCAAUCAUUAACAAGCAUAGAGAAUGUUAUUCCUUUAAGUUCUAUUACGGUGUUAAACACCGUGUGACUAUACUGACAUGGUCUCUUGUUUUCUAUUAGCUAUUUGUUGUGUAUCUAAACUGAAACCAUAGCCCUAUAUAUUUCAUUUGUCUGGACAAUUUCUUGUCCCAUCCAAAGGUGAUCUAAUUCUUGAUUUUGCUGCCAAAAUUUGGCAAAGUAGCAUAUCAUUGGCUUUCAAGUUCCUCCUAAUUUGUUUCUUUCAAUAGUUGGAAGCCUUCAUAACAUGUUAUAUUAUUUCGUCUCAAUUAUCGUUGUUCUGCACUGAGUCAUUUCCUAUCAUCAAAGUAAACUAUGUUAAGCAACAGAUUUCUUUUCAGAUUCAUCCAGGCAGUCAUACUGUUCUAGAUAUUGUGAUUCACUUAGUUUCUUAAUGGAUUUUCCUACUUAUGUGCAGAGUCCUGGGGCUUCAGGUUUUGAUCUACGAACUGAGGUGAGAUUAGUAAUCCCUCAAUUCACCAUUAUAUCAGUAGCUCUGUACAGGAGACAUUCUCUUGAUUAGAUAAGAAAUUGAUGUGGUUACAGCACUAUUGUUUUUUCCCCCCUAAUUUAUGAUCUUCCUUGUGUUUGCUUUCUCUUCUCUUUUAUUUAUAAAUGAAAGAAGUGAUGGGCAUGGUAGGGAUGGAUAACUGUCUCUAAUAAUUUGAUAAAUAUGUGGUAAAGCACAUACCGUUUGAACCCUUGUGCAAUAAGAAAGUAUGAUCUAUGUAGUGUCUUUUUCUACAACUGUUCUGAGAAGUUAUUACUGCUGGCAAACAGCAACUUGGCUUCAAACUGGCAAUUUAGCUUUAGGUGAUACCACUUGAUAACCAUAUGAUAGUUUUCAAUGCUUAUUGCUUUUGAUGUGUAAAUGAAAGAGAGGUGGCGCUUGAUAUUAGGGCCUUGUAGCAGGAGUCUUUUACCCGGCUUCUUUCCAUGAAUGAAUACAUUUGAAAAAUCCAAAAAGGAAAGAAAAGAUUAUGGCCUUGUGGGACAUGAUUGUCUUUAGAUUCUUCUAUAAGCCUGUACAAUGAUUGCCAAUAAAGGCUUACACUGUUGCAGAUUCGGAGGCAAUCCACUUGGGAGCUUCAAGUUUUUAAAGACCGGUGGAAUCAAGCUGUAGAAGAGGACAAGAGCUGGGUGGAUCCAUUUGUAAGAUAUCAAAGGCGCAGAAAACAUAAACGUCACCAAACUUAAAAAGUUUUUUAACUCAUGACUUAACCAAGCAGCUGGUUGGAUACGUUAGAUUGGCUUCUUCACACAGAUACAGCAGUCUCUCAUCUAUACUUGUAUUUUAGUUCCUCUAGGCUUUGGUGAAUGCUCAUAAUUAUUUCAUUAUUUGAAAUCCUCAUCAUUUUGUUCCCUUCCUUCGGAUUUUGUCUAAUAUAUUUAGCAAUACAAGUCUUCGUUUUCCCUUUUUGUCUUGCUAAGAAUUUACAUUAUGAAGAGAUUAAAACCCAUUCUUUGCCUCAAUAAAUAACCCAAAGUGUGUAACGGGUCUCAACUUCAUGUAAAUCAACCUCAAGCUCAGGGGAUUUAGAAGUUAAAACCCUCUGUUGAAUUCUCAUGUAACAACCUAAAAUUUUAUGUACGAAAUGGUUCUGUGAUGAAAUGGAGCUGUACACCGUAUAUGCAGCAUUCUUCCUACUAGUUAUUUAGUUUGUCCGAAACAUUCUUUGGAUGUUUAUAUUUGUUUCUUUGGAUUCGGGUUUGAAGGCGAUGAAAGAAAUAUUCAUUUGUCCUUCACGACAAUGUACAAGAGAAAGAUCAAGGCCUUCUGUAUUUCUUACAGAGAUGAACUGUACUAAUACUUCGAUUUCAUGGAAGACAGAUAGAUCAUACGACACUAUACCUACUUGGGUUCUGUAAGAUUAGUCCAAUUGUCACACGAUAAUGUACAAGAGAAUGGUAGCCACAACAAAGUUCUACGCUUGACUUGCUUGGAAAAUAUUAGUUUAUGGCUCCAGACAGCUAAGAAAUUUGCAGUGGCAAGGUCGCUCGCUCGUAAGAGCAGACCAUGUGUUUUCUUUAGAAAUAACAUGUCCAAUAGUUCCAAGUCGCUCUCUUACAGAAAAGCCAAGAAUUAUACGAUGUUAUCUGCUUUUCUUGCCGUCCUCCUCAUUUCUCAUUAUCCUUUUCGCUUUACAUCAACGGAAAUGGUCCAUCUGAAUGAGGAAAAAUCAGUUCAAAUCGUUUCUUUUCACUCUAUAUAAAGAGCAUUUCUCUCCGUAAAUGUUGCCUUCACACUACACAAAUUAACUUGUAUUUCCCUUCCUCUACAUUGAGCUUUGGUUUGUCUCAAUAGAAGGACCUAAGCUAUCAUGGCUGGUAACCCCGAUUGGAACCCUCUUGACGAGGAAGAAGAAGUCAACCCUUUUUCUGUGAGUUUCAUUUCUCGCGACUAUAUGUAUAAAUGUAUGCAUGGAAAAGUAGGACUAUGCGUCUUUACAUGCAGCAAGCUUGUUAGCUGACUUAAAUUUGCACGUAAUUCAAGCAUGCAUCAGCCAAUUAGCUAUACCCUGUAUUUUACGUACAUGAUCAACCAAGCUUACGGAAUUUUGAACCCCAACUCUUUGAUCACGUUAAAUGGAGUUGGAAUUAAGAAAAUUUUGAUUUUCAUUAAGGAUUGCCAUCUGAACUUGUAGAUUUUCAACAAUAAAGUGAUCUUUUGUUAGUUUUCUUUAAAAAGCAUUGAUGGUUUUGGUGAUUAUAUAUGUUGUAAACUUGCAAUGUGUUGUUUGUUUUUUCUUGGGUUUUCCUCAUGCAACGAUUUGCUUGGAUAAUUGGUGAACUUCCAGAGUCCUACACAUUAUUCACACUCAAGGCUUCCAGCUCUUAUUCCUGAACCUGCCAGCUACAACUAUGAUCGCAAUCCAGCCAUUGACAUUACUCUUGAUAAAGCAACGGUAAAGGACCCAAUUUUCUGGUUCUUUGGGAACUGAGUUCGUAAAUGCUUGCUAUUUAUAGAGUCAUUAAACUGAACAGUCAGUUUUCUCUGAUUGUACCCUGUUUAAAAUGUAGAAUUUAAAGCAGAAAGAGAGAGAACUCAAGGCCAAGGAAGCUGAAAUCAGGAGGGAGGAGGUAAUAACUUUACAGAUACAUUAAAACCUUUGUAUGCAUGCAGAUUCUAAACUAUCAUAGUCUAGUGAUUGGAGAUACAGAUUUUAUACAAUGACCUUAAGCACUAGGUGAAUCUUUCCUUGCCCUUGUCAAAAUUUCUAACUCAUCAGCUUCAUUUGGGGGCAUGCAGGAAGUUAAAAGGAAAGAAGAAGCUCUAGCACGAGGUAACCGGCAUUUGCCAUUACAUUUUUUAUUCAAGUCUUGCAGGUCUUUCCCUUCUGGGUAUUUAAGCUUCUUCAAGUUAACUGAAUUAGUCUCUGUUUGAUUUUAUUCUUAAAUCUGCAAUGCCAAUUUCUUUGUUGAAAAAGAGAAUGUGAUUAUCCCAAAAACAGCCCUAGCUGUUAGUGUUGGCACUGAUAAUAGACUGUCGAAAGGGAAUUAAGCAAAGCAACAAGUUCAACUUCUUUUUGUUUUGCAGCUGGAGUUUUUCUAGACGUGAGCAAUUGGCCACCAUUUUUCCCAAUCAUUCACCACGAUAUUGCAAAUGAGAUACCAGAUUAUCUACAACGAAUGCAAUAUGUAGCUUUCUUGACAUUGUUAGGUAAGCGCCUUCUCAAAUACACAGCUCAGAUUGAUUAUUUGGAUUUUACUUGAACAUAAAUUUUGAAAUGUAAAUAUCUAAAAAACUAAUGAUCCUUGAUAGCACUAGGAUUCAAAUAUGAUGAAUGGUAAUCUUAUGCAGGAUUGGUGCUGUGCCUUUUCUGGAAUAUCUUAGCUGUUUAUGCAGCAAGCAUCAAAGGGAAAGGUUGGACUCGAAAGCUUCUUCUUAUCUUUCUUGUUUAUCCAUUUUAGUCUGUUGUUUAGAUUCUGCUGUUUAAUCUUAGAACAUUUUCAUUUAGGCAUAAAUAUCUUGUUCCUCGCCUUCAUUUAUUUCAUGCUAGGGGUACCAGGAGCCUAUAUAUUGUGGUAUCAUCCACUUUAUCGUGAUUGCAGGUACUAAAACCUCUUUGAUCAUUUUGGUUUGAACUGAAUUAUGUUCUUCAUUCUGUUACCUUAUCACUUUAUGAUCAUCUUGCAGGAAAGACAGUGCGUUUAAAUUUGGAUCGUUUUUCAUAUUUUAUAUGGUACUGUAUUUUAUGUAUCCGGUGAUCCUUUUCUCUCCCCAGGAGUUGGUAGCUUCCUAACUAUUCCAUACUAUUUUUUCUACUUGCAGAUACAUAUCUGCUUCUGCCACUAUGCUAUGGUUGCUCCUCCUAUAAUUUAUCAUGGGUUAUCAUUAACGUAAGUUCCUUAAAGUUUCCAGCCUUCCUCAAAUUGAUAGAACUUGCCAGGCCCUUUGUCUUUAUUUGUAAAAACAUCAAUGAUCUGCAGUACUGGAGUUGAUGGUGUGAACCAAAAAAGAUUAAUUAUUUCUUUUUCCUCUUAACUGAUGCAAUAAACUCGAGGCCAAGUUUCGGGGUUGAAAGGUCGAUUUUUCAUUUUCCAUACCAUCUUGAUUAUGACUUAACAUUCUGCUGCUGCUGCUGCUGCAGGGGAGUCUUGAGUGCAGUGUAUCUUACUACAGACGGCUAUGCUUUUGUUGGUGUAAAGACACCCUGAGCCUCAAUAUACUCGACUCUUUUUAAAUCUUUUUUUCAUAUAUCAUUUCUUCUCUUCAAGUCUUGAUUGAAAGCAUAACUUAAUAGAACAUGGCUUGUAAUGCUGUAGCCUUGACCAGAUCCAUUUUUACUUUGCUUUGUGCAGAACCUCUACUUCAUUGGGCUCGGAUUAUUCUUUGUUGAGUCACUGUUAAGCAUCUGGGUCCUAGAGGUCUGAUCAACACUCAAAUUCACUUACUCUUGCUGCGUUGAUUAUUUGAUUUAUCAGGGAUCUCUAACAUCACUAAUUUUACAUUUUUUUCCCCUCCAUUUUUUUUCAGAGAGCAUACAGAUACUUCCGUGGCACUGGUAAGGCUGCAAAGGCAAAUUACCCAAUCUACUAAAGGAACCAGAUUAAGACUCCUGAGAUUGCUUGUAAGAAGGAGAUGUAAAUUGAUAUGACCUGACAGCUUGCUAUUUUGCUGCAAAAAUUUGCAUUAUGAAAACUUUGAUCCAUUUUCAAUCCAAUGUACAAGUUAUUGUUUGUUUGAUAAUUCAUUUUCAACAUGUAAUGUUCAAGAUUAAAGCUUUACACUAACCACAAUUAUUUUUAUUUAGACAAGCCAGUGUUUCAUUUGAGAUUAGUUUAGUUAAGGAGUGCAAAUAUUCCCUUUCAGUUCCAUAUUUCUUGAUAGCCGUAUGACAGUUUUCAAUAGUUUGAUCUUUGAUGCUUAUCGCAUUGGAUGUGUAAAUCGAUGUUAUUGCCUUGUAGCAGGAGUUUUUACCUGGCUUCUUUCCAUGAAUGAAUACAGUUGAAAAAUCCAAAAAGGAAAGAAAAGAUUAUGGCCUUGUGGGACAUGAUCGUCUUCAGAUUCUUCUAUAAGCCUGUACAAUGAUUGCUAAAAAAGGUCAUACAUUGUCGCAGAAUUCGGAGGCAAUCCACUUGGGAGCUUCAAGUCUUUAAAGAGCGAUGGAAUCAAGCGGUAGAAGAGGACAAGAACUGGGUGGAUCCAUUUGUAAGAUAUCAAAGGCGCAGAAAACAUAAAACGUCACCAAACUUAAGUUUUUAACUCAGCACCUAACCAAGCAGCUGGUUCCAUACGUUGGUUUGGCUUCUUCACACACAGAUACAGCAGUCUCUCAUCUAUACUUGUAUUUUAGUUCCUCUAGCCUUUGGUGGAUGGAUGCUCAUAAUUAUUUCAUAGUUUGAAAUCCUCUUAAUUGUGUUCCCUUGCUUCCGAAUUUGUCUAAUAUGUUUAGCAAUACAAGGUUUUUUUUUUUUUUUUGCAAUUAAUUCGGAUAAACUAUACAUAUAUAUAUGAGUUAAUUCAUGCAAGAGAGCAAUCCCAUCAUUUGAUCAUCAUCUCUAGAUUAAGAGAUUAAAACCCAUUCUUUGCCUCAAUAAACAACUUAAAACUUUUGGGUCAAGUAAUUUAACACAACCCAAUGUGUGUAAUGGGUUUCUACUUAAUGUAAAUCAAGCUCAAGCUCAAGGGUUUUAGAAAUUAAAUGCUAUUCUUGAAUUCUCAGUUCUGUGAUGAAAUGGCGCUGUAUGCAGUAUUUUUCCUGUUACAUACCUUUGGAUGUUUGUAUUUGUUACUUUGGAUUUGGAUUGCAUUCAUUUGUCCUUGCCGCACGACAAUGUACAAGAGAACGAUCGAGGCCUUCUGUGUUCCUUACAGAGAUGAACUGUAUUAAUACUUCAAUUCCAUAGAAGACAGACAGAUCAGACAACGCUAUAUCUACUUGGGUUCUAUAAGAUUGGUCCUUGUCACACGAUAAUGUACAAGAGAAUAAUGGCCACAACAAUGUUCUACGCUUGACUUGCUUGGAAAAUAUUAGUUUAUGGCUCCAGAUAGCUACGACAUUUACAUAGGCAAGGUUGCUCGCUUGCAAGAAUAGACCAUGUGUUUCUUUUGAAAUAACAUGACAGAUAGUUCCAAGUCACUCUCCUACAGAAACAAUGAAACAAGCUAUAAAACAUAAGGUUUCUUCGAUCAAUCCGUUGCCUUUCAGAAAAGCCAAGAAAAUUAUACUAUGUUAUCUGCUUUUCUUGCCGCCCGUCUCAAUUCUGAACACCCUUUUCACUUUACGUCAACGGAAAUGGUACAUCUGAAUGAAGACAAAUCAGUUCAAAUCGUUUCUUUUCUCUCUAUAUAAAGAGCGUUUCUCUCCGCAAAGAAAAUGUUGCCUGUAACUCAAAUUGCUACUUAUACAAAUUAACUUGCAUUUCUCGCUUCUUCUAAAAUUGACCUCUGGUCUGUCUCUAUAGAAAGACCUAAGCUAUCAUGGCUGGUAACCGAGAUAGGAACCCUUUUGAUGAGGAAGAAGCAGUCAACCCCUUUUCUGUAAGUUUCGUUUCUCUCGACUAUAUGUAUAUAUGUAUGCAUGGAAAAGUAGGAUUAUGCUUCUUUACAUGCAACAAGCUUGCUGGCUGACUUAUAUUUGCACGUAAUUCAAGCAUGCAUCAACCAAUUAUCUAUUCGUGCAUAAUCUACUUGGGACUUUUGAAUCCCAACAACUCUUUGAUCACGGAAAAUGGAGUUGGAAUUAAGAAAAUUUUGAUUUUCAACAAUAAAUUGAUCUUUGGUUCGUUUUCUUUAAAGAGCAUUGGUGGUUUUGGUGAUUAUAUAUGUUGUAAGCUUGUAAUCUUUUGUUUGGUUUUUUGGGUUUUCCAUGCAACGAUUUGCUUGGAUAAUUGGUGAACUUCCAGAAUCCUACACAUUAUUCACACUCAACGCUUCCAGCUCUUUCUCCUGAACCUGCCAGCUACAAUUAUGAUCGUAAUCCAGCCCUUGACAUUACUCUUGAUAAAGCAACGGUAAAUUAGGACCCAAGUUUCUGGUUUUUGGGGAACUGAGUUUGUUAUAUGCUUACUAUUUAUAUAAUGCCUUUAAACUGAACAUUCAGUUUUCUCUGAUCAUACCCUGUUUAAAAUGUAGAAUUUAAAGCAGAAAGAGAGAGAACUCCAGGCCAAGGAAGCUGAAAUCAGGGGGAGGGAGGAGGUAAUACCUUUGCAGAUGCGUUAAAAACUUUGAAUGAAUGUAGAUUCUAAACUAUCAUAGACUAAUGAUUUUUGGAGCAUGCUAAAACUUUGAUUUAUCAUGUGGAACAUAUAUACAAGUAGCAAGAUACAGAUUUUAUGCAAUGGCCUUAAGCACUAGGUGAAUCAUUCAUUGCCCUUGUCGAAAAUUCUAACUCAUCAGCUUCAUUUGAGGGCAUGCAGGUAGUUAAAAGGAAAGAAGAAGCUCUAGCACGAGGUAACCUGCAUUUGCCAUUUUAUUUUUUUUUAGUCUUGCAGGUCUUUCCUUCUGGGUAUUUGAGCUUCUUCGAGUUAAGUGAAUAAUUAGUCUAUUAUCCUAAAAACAGCCCUAGCUGUUAGUGUUGGCACUGAUGAUUGACUGUCAGAAAGGGAAUUAAGCAAAACACAUAGAGUUUAACUUCUUUUUGUUUUGCAGCUGGAGUUUUCCUAGAUGUGAAAAAUUGGCCACCAUUUUUCCCAAUCAUUCACCAUGAUAUUGCAAAUGAGAUACCAAAUUAUCUACAUCGAAUGCAAUAUGUAGCUUUCUCGUCAUUGUUAGGUAAGCGUCUUCUCAAAUGCACAGCUCAAAUUUGAUUAGCACUAGGAUGCCUAGGAUGCAAACAGGAUAGAAUGAUGAAUGGUAAUUUUAUGCAGGAUUGGUGCUGUGCCUUUUCUGGAAUGUCAUAGCUGUUUCCACAGCAAGCAUCAAAGGGAAAGGUUGGAUUAGAAAGCUUCUUGUUUUUCCAUUAUAAUCUGUUGUUUAGAUUCUGUGUGUUUAAUCCUAGAACAUUUUCAUUCAGGCAUAUAUAUCUGGUUCCUCGCCGUCAUCUAUUUCAUGCUAGGGGUACCAGGAGCCUAUAUAUUGUGGUAUCGUCCACUUUAUCGCGCUUGCAGGUACUAAAACCUGGUUGAUCAUUUUCGUUUGAAAUUUGAGUGAUGUUCUUCAUUCUGUAGACCUUAUCACUUUAUGAUCAUCUUGCAGGAAAGACAGUGCGUUUAAAUUCGGAUGGUUUUUCAUAUUUUAUAUGGUAAUGUACUUUAUGUAUCUGGUGAUCCUUUUUUCCCCCCAAGAGUUGGUAGCUUCCUAGCUAUUUCAUACCAUUUUUUCUGCUUGCAGAUACAUAUCUGCUUCUGCAUCUAUGCUGCGGUUGCUCCUCCUAUAAUAUAUCAGGGGUUAUCAAUGCCGUAAGUUCCUUAAAAUUUCCAGCCUUCCUCAAAUUGAUAGAACUUGCCAGGCCCUUUUGUCUUUAUUUGUAACAUCAUCAAUGGUCUCAAGUACCGGAGUUGAUGGUGUGAACCAAAAAGGAUUAAUUAUUUCUUUUUCCUCUUUACUGUUGCAAUAAACUCGAGCUCAAGUUUCUGGGUUGAAAGGUUGAUUCUUGAUUAUGACUUAAUGUUCUGCUGCUGCUGCAGGGGAAUCCUGAGUGCAAUGUAUCUUAUGAACAAGGAAGAUGCUCUUGUUGGGGUAAAGACACCCUGAGCCUCAACAUUCUCAACUCGUUUAAAAUCUUUUGUUUCAUCAUUUCUUCUCUUCAAGUCUUGAUUGACAGCAGAACUUAAUAGAACAUGGUUUGUAAUGCUGCAGCCUUGACCAGAUCGAUUUCUACUUUGCUUUGUGCAGAUCUUCUACUUCAUUGGGUUUGGAUUAUUCUGUGGUGAGACACUGUUAAGCAUCUGGGUCCUUCAGGUCUGAUAUCAACACUCAAAUUCACCUACUCCUGCUGCAUUGAUUAUUCGAUUUACCAUGGAUCUCUAACAUCAUUAUUGAUUAAUUUUACAUUUUUUUUGCCCCCAUUUUCUUACAGAGAGUAUACAGGUACUUCCGUGGCACUGGUAAGGCUGCAGAGGCAAAACAUUGUGCCGCAAGAGGAACAGCAAUGGCAGCAAUGGGCUAAGCAGAACCAAGUAAGGUAGCAACCUCAUGCAUGGAUAUUUCCUUAGCCAACCUCAUGCAUGGCUUUUGUAAACAAAGCUUCUUUUGUAAAUCGCCAUGACCUGACAGCAUUCGUAUUUUGCUGCAAAAACUCGCACUAUGAAAACUUUGAUCCAUUCUCUAUCCCAAUGUUCAAGUUAUUGUUCGUAAAGAAUAAUGUCCAAGAAACAUAAAGAAUCGUUUUUAUUCAGACAAGACAGUGUUUCAGUUGAGAUUAGUUUAGUUAAAUACUACAAAUAUUCCCUUUCAGUUCUAUAUUUCUGUACUUCUUCAAGUCUGCAUGCAUGACGUCACAUUCAUAAAACUAAAAAUAAAAACAAAUUAAAUAUUCUUAUUAUUAUUUUGUCUUUUUUUUUUUUCAUGAAAAAGAGAUAUCGACGGAGGAAAUAUUGAUGCAAAACGAAAGGGACGUUAUUCUAGAACAACGAACGGAAGACGCACCAAACGUUACGUUUCGACGAUGCUGUUUCCAUUCUUUCUUCGUGUAGCCAAGUCAACUAUUUUUAUUUUUAAAUGUCCUUUUUUAAUUUAAUUAAUUAAUUCCUUUUGAUUUUUCCAAUAUCUUGAACCCAAAACUCUUCUCCAUCUUCGACAUUUUAGUAUUCAAAACACAUUUCCUUUCACCAUCAUUAAUAAUUAACGGCCGCAUUUUAAUUCUAAAUUACAAUUAAAAUUCGAUAAAUAUAAUUCAGACAAAAAAACUUACCGACAAAUAAAGACGAAUUUUCCCUCAACAUGAUCUCUUAUCAAUUAUUAAUUAAUUAAUGAUAAUUUAAAAUCCGUAAAUCAUCGUACCGGUUUUAAAAUUUCAAUCCAAACAAGGCAUAGGAAUAAUCGGUCGGCUGCGGUUCAAAAAUUCAAAAAAUCAAUUUAAUAAAUAAAUAAUUAUCCAAAGAAAAGACAAAAAAAGAAGGGAAAAGUAGUCAUAGCAGUAACGUAAGAAGGGGAAGAUUAUUCUAUUUUUUUCCCGCUGUUUCCUGUUAAUUUCUUUUUCGGCCAACUUCAGCAAAUUAGUACAAGCUGGCUGACCGAAAAGUCCAACUCCUCUUUCUAUUUCUAUCUCUAUCUCUUUUCACACAGCGAAAGCAAGUUUCUCUCUCUAGAAGAAUUCGCCUUCGCUUUGUAAGAACGGAAAAAAAACAUUUUUUUCUUUCAAAUUCUUAGCUUGAGCAAUUCAAUUUGCUUCUUCAACAAGCUUCUCUCUUUCUCUCUCUCUCUCUCUCUCUAUAGUUUAGAUCUUCGUUAUAUUAAUCAUAUAUCCUAUUUCCGGUUUGUUUUCUUAAGGUUUUUCAGAGGAAAAAGAAGAAAACCCUACGCUGAUGGCUGGUCGUUACGAUAAAAAUCCUUUCGAUGAAGAAGAAGAAGAAGUUAAUCCUUUCGCGGUUGGUUUCUCUUUCUCUUUUCUCUCUUUUUUCAUUUUAUGGCUUUAACGAUGUUUUGGUGGAGUUGAAGUUUUGAAGUUCAAUUAUGGUGUCUCUGUCGCGGUAUACUUGAAGAAUUUUGAAAUUCUCUACGGCUUUGGUGAAAGUUUUAGGAACGGAGUAUCCGUUGACUUGUGAUCGCUUCGAGAUUUUAAUUUGAUCUGGAAUUUCGAUUUAAUUCGGUUUUGGAAAGUGUUUUACUUGGUUUUUGUAGCUGAUGUGAUGGCUUAAGUGACUUAGGUGUUUUCUUGUUAAUGAAGAUGCAUUAAAUACAGUACAAAAUUUAUUCAAGCUUGUUCAAUUACUGAAUCCAUCAUCAAUUUGUUUAACCAAUAAGCAGUUUCCUAGUGCCAAGACAUUAUGCUUUUCUGCUAUUGUUAUUAAUUUUGAGAAAGUGAUUUGGAUAAUGUUUUCAGCAUGUUUUUUUCAAUCAUAUAUCUAUGAUAUUCGGAGAGAAAUGAUAUCUUUUCUUAAGUAUUAACUCUUUCGUUAACCUAUAUUUUUCAAAAUGUGCAAUUCCUGCUAUGGUGAUUAGGCAGAAGGGGAAAUUCAUAUUUGCACUUAGAUGAACCUUAGUCCAUGAAAUGCAGAAUGUGACACGUUAUCAGGCUUUAUUACUUGAUUUAUCUGUCCAUAAGUUGGUCUAUGGAAGCUGUACAACUUCUCUUCUAAUAUGAUCUUUUUUUUAAUUAAUUUCUACCAGGAUCCAGCAGUGAGAGGAAAGACAUCUGGGCAGUCUAAAUUUGGUGGGGGUCUAUUUUCAACGGUAAGCUAAAUUAUUGUUUCUAAAAUUUCAAGGGAACAGUUUAAGAAGAUUUUUCUGAUUAGAUAAUAGGUGAAAGGUGUGGAAUUUAGCAUGUGGAUUUGGUUGUUUCUCAUCCUCUGGAUGUCUCUGGAGAUUGCCUCUUAUUUGGUUAUCAACUCUGUUUUGGAGAGCUAGGUUUUGAGUUUAUCUUUUAGACAUGGAUGCUAAGUAGUCACCAAUGCAAUCUAAAACCAUAGCUUUAGGUGAUUUUGUGCUAAACUACCACUUUUCAAUCCCUUGGGCAUGCUGAAUUUCCAUAUUUUUUUACUAGCUUGCUAGAAUUUGAUAACUAAAAUAGGUAGUGAUUAACCUAGGGCCUGAGUUCUCUUUGUAAUGCUGAUAGUUUUGGGAGUUAGCUUGCACUUGCUUAAUGCUUAUAAUGAUUUAAUUCAGAAAAAAAUAGGUUGCUUGCUAUAUAUGUUGUGAUAUGGUCAUGUACGGAAAAAAUUUCUUAUAUUACUUGCUUCUUGAAUGCAUAUUGUCAAUUAAUUUUCAGAAUAAUCCAACCGCUCCACCUGCAUCAAACUCUAGACUUUCACCACUACCUCCUGAACCUGCUGGUUUCAAUUAUGAUCGCGAGGCAACAAUUGACAUUCCUCUUGAUACAUCUUCAGGAGGAUCACACUAUCAGGUUGGUGAAGACCUGUCUUUAAAUUCCAUUUGCAUAAUUUGGUUAAGUGUUGAAUCUCAUUUUUCUGGUUUUACUGUUCAAAUCUAGGAUUUGAAGAGGAAGGAGAAGGAACUCCAGGCUAAGGAGGCUGAAUUGAGAAGGCGGGAGCAGGUAUGUUGUGGAUGAAAUUGUAUGAUUUUGAAUUCAUUUUUAUUCUACAGGAUUAUAGACUUGAUUUUGUUCUCUCAAUUUGCUCCCCAAGAUGUGCUAUCACAAUUUUAAAAUCUGAUGUAACAAAAGCCAAAUAUAUCUCAAUAGAUCUUGUCCUAAAAAUAACUAUUAAGACACUAUUAGGUUUGUAGUGGGGUAUGUGUUAUGUUUUAUCUCUGUCUAUUUAGCAUACUAAGUUAUUUGGAUGGUUUUAAGAUGCAAGUUUGCAUUCAUGCAUGUUUGUUUCAUAAAUAAAUAGCAAGAACUUUAUUUUGUUUACUGCCCUUUGACACCUCAUAAAUCAUUGCAUCCCUACAAUUUUCACUGAUCAGGUUAUUCCAUGCAGGAAGUGAAACGGAAAGAAGAGGCAGCGGCAAGAGGUACCUUUCAUUUUUCGUUUUAUAAUUUGACUAGUCACACUGUUCUAUAACUUCUAGUUGUUUGAGUCUCUCCAGGGCUAAUGAAUUGGUUGGUUUGAUUUUAGUUUGAGAUCUGGAUGUUCAGUUUGUAGUCAAUGGCAUCUAAUCCUCGCCUUUAAUUAAUAGUAAAAGAAAGAAGUGACUGUCUUUGAUAAGCAUUUGCUGAGUCUGGGUCUGCUGUCUCUGUAUUUUUGCUCAUAGAUUCAAUAUUUGUUCUAGAUCACAUUCUUUUGCCAAAUAAUUUGACCUGGUUCUAUUUUCUUUUAUGGUCAAUAACUCUUACAUUCUGCCAUGAACUAGAGUUUGACUUCUCUGUUUUGCAGCUGGAAUUGUUCUGGAAGAGAAAAAUUGGCCGCCAUUUUUUCCCAUCAUUCAUCAUGAUAUUGCAAAUGAAAUACCAAUUCAUCUACAAAGAUUGCAGUAUGUUGCAUUUUCGACAUUUUUAGGUAAGUCUUUUUUGAACACUAAUUGCUACUUUUUUUUUUCUUUUGUUCUAUGCAUAGUGCAUCUAAGCAUUGCUCAAUGUGUGUUAUUGAAAAUUUGUGCCAUAUUGAUAUGAAGUUGUAUUCAUUGAUAGAUUCCAAUGGAUGAUUAUUUGUACUAUGCUUUUACUUUGUUAACUAUUUAGUUGCAAAAGGCUUUCGUAUAAGCCAACGGAUGACUGACAGUUGGGUGAUGUGUUGUGAUUCGAUGCAGGAUUGUGUCUGUGCCUUCUAUGGAACAUCAUAGCUGUUACUACAGCAUGGAUCAAAGGGGAAGGUUAGUUUAGAAAUGUAUUUCCAUAUUUCUUGUUUUUGCUUUUGAAUAUAAAUAUUAUCUUGUUUUACCUUAUUUAUUAUUGUUUAGGUGUGAGGAUCUGGUUCUUGGCUGUUAUCUACUUCAUAGCAGGGGUCCCAGGAGCCUAUGUAUUGUGGUAUCGCCCACUGUAUCGUGCUUUUAGGUACUUAAUAUACUCCAAUCAUUUUCUAUUAUCGCUAUUCAUUUUUGCCCACUGUAUUGUGCUUGUAGGUACUUAAUAUACUCCAAUCUUUUUCUAUUAUCGCUAUUCAUUUUUGCCCUUUUUUCUUUUAAAUGUUGGAUUGGCUUCAAUGCCAACUUCUGUUGCUUGCUUCUUAAUCUGGCUGUUCAUGUUCCUUGCACUUGGUAAUAAGCCCUUAUAUGAAUUUGAAUUAUUUUCUUACCUUAUGACUAUUAUGCAGGAAGGAAAGUGCUUUGAGGUUUGGAUGGUUCUUCCUUUUUUAUUUGGUAAUAUCUCAUGUUUCUCCUGAUGGAUAUGUUUCUUUUCUAGGAGUUGGUAGAUACUGAUUCUUUUAUUCCUCUUUUUUCCUGUUUGUAGCUUCACAUCGGCUUUUGCAUCUUUGCUGCGGUGGCUCCCCCUAUAGUUUUUAGAGGGAAAUCACUCACGUAUGUUCGUAAACUAUUUUUAACUUAUCUUUGGCAAUCUUUAUUGAAGUUGGACAAAAGUGACUUGCAUCUAUCUGUCUUUAUUUGCAAGUACAUCAGUGCAUUAGGGUAGACAUGAUGCACUGAGGACAUAGUAUCCUACAAAAAAGUCCAUUGUCCAUAUUUGCAAAUCUUCUACUUCAAAUAUGAGAUACUGAUCAACUAUUAUCUCAGUGGCAUGCCAAUAUACUACAAGUAUUGGAGAUGCAAAAUUGGUAUUGUACUGCAAUUUUUUGACCCUAUAUCUUACUAAUGCUGUUUUGUCCCAUACAGCGGGAUCCUACCUGCAGUAGAUCUUAUCGAUGGACAUGCUUUGGUUGGGGUAAGUAUAUGCUUAAACCUGAGCAAAAAUUUUAAUACCACAAUUGGGUUUUGUCAUUAAAACAGUUGAGCAUUUGCUUAAUCUGUAGCAGAAAUUGAUUACAUGCUGUGUUAAGUGGGAUAGCUGGGUACGGAAAGAAUGUUGCUUGUACCAUUGAAGGCUUGGCCAUUGUGAUUGCAUUUUCUGUUAACCAAAAAGUUGAGAAAGAUAUUUUCUUGACCAUUUUGAUGAAAUUUCUUUUUGUUUGUGUAGAUCUUCUACUUCGUUGGUUUUGCAUUAUUCUGCGUUGAAUCAGUUGUAAGCAUGUGGGUUAUCCAGGUUUGUUCAGUGCCCAACGUAAUUUGUUGCAAAACUGACAUACACAUACUGUAUGGGAUUUCUAACAUCCCGUUUGCUGUUUGCAUUGCAGCAAGUAUACAUGUAUUUCCGUGGCAGCGGUAAAGCCGCCGAGAUGAAGCGUGAGGUUGCGAGAGGAGCUAUGAGGGCUGCCAUAUAAUGGCACAGGCUAGCAGCAACGGGGUAUAUGGUAAAACACUCGCGUGUGGAUUCUACUUGUUUAUAUGCACUUUGCCAGGGAAGGAGCAGAUACAGCUUGUUAUCUCUGGAUCCUGGCUUUUGUUGCACAUAUUCUCUGUAACUUUAUUCUGAGUGCUACUUUCUGUAAAGUUUUUUUUUUUUUUUUUUACUCUGGAGUUUGAAUUAUCAGACACCUUGUGCAAGACUUAAAAACAUGAUUUUCAUGUAUGAAUUGAUUCUAUAUAGAGAAAGAGUUUCAUUUCUGGGUUAGUUGGCGGUGUUAUGCCUAGCUAAGAAGCCUCAGGAAUAGGACCAUCGGUAUCAUAUACAUAUAGAAUUGACCUUUGGGGCCUACCAAAUAUGUAAGGAGGAAAGGACAUGUCCUGGAUCAUUUUCCAGGGGACUUAGACAAUGAUGGAGGUGAACCUGGCAGGGCAUUAGUAAAUUUCUAGCAAAUUUCCAUAGCAGAUUGUUGAAUUCUGACGAAGAAUAGGAUUUCGACCAAGGAUAGCAAGCAAAGGCUAUUGAUCCUCAAGAAGCACUUUCCAGGAGGGAAAGAAAUGUUAGGGGAGGAGUCAUUGCCGGCUAAAGCAGAAUUCAACUCACCAGAGCUAUAUCCUGCAAACUCGACAUCUCUUUAAAUGCUUGCAAACAUGGAAAAAGAAGAUGGUACUGCAUUUCCUUCCCCGAAACUGCCAACUAAAGUCGAUAAAUUAAGUACAAAUUUCACAUUAAAUUAAGAAGUAAGAAACUAAUAAGCAUACUCUCUCUCGUUUUCAUUUAUUUAUAUUAAUCUGAUAGUUGAUCCCAGCAGUAAAAUUGUAGAGAUCGAGAGAAGAACAAAGAGGAAAACUCAAAUCAUAGAAGCUCUUACAUCAAAUACUCCGUAUAUAUAUAUAUAUAUAUAUAUAUAUAUUACUAUAUGAUUUGAUUAAAGCCGCAUGGAUCUCAUCUAUAAUCAUACAUAGUUACGUAGCUACUGAUUAUAGCAAGUACUAUAUAUUAUAUUACGCUCUUUAACAAUAAGCGACGCAUUUCUUCUUACAAUCCAUGGUGCAGCCACCGCCACCGCCGCCGCUACCGUACCCUUUCCCUGAUCGGCUAAAAGAGGUGAAGCACUUAGCAGGGCAGGUCAGCUUCUUGUUGUAACAAGGACCCCUUUCUUUGCAAACAACGGUAGGCCUAAUGAUACCGCCUUUUGAGUACCCUCCAUUAGGACCUCCAUACCCAGCUCCAUAGCCACCACCUAUGAUACCGUUUCCCCACCCUUUUCCAAACCCUGGGAUGUCCCCAAAGCCAGGUCCUGGACCAAAGAACCCGCCAAUCCCACCAUUGUUUCCACCACCUUUGUUGUUGCUGCCUUUGCUGUGCUUUUGAUCAAAUGAUAAGGGUUCGAAUGAGUCAAGCCUUGCUGCUGCACAGAGUGAAGCUGUGAUUAGCAGAACUGCAAGGAUGAAGCUGAUUUUGGGAUUCAUUUUUUAUCUCUUUUUCUUUUGAAGAUUGUGAUGAGGAGAGAUGAAAGUGUUGCAGUGCAGGAAUAUUUAAGUGGGUAAGUGGGGGUGAAAGGAAGUCAUUUAUGCAGAGAGAAAGAGAGAGCUAGUGUUGGUGACAGUUGAGGAUAGAGGGUCCUCCAUGAAUGAGUAGGUUGGGCGCAAUUAUGACCCUGUCUUCGUUUAGUGAUACCACCUUUUCUUCUCUACUUUAAAAAUUUCUUUAAACCCCUCGAUUACUAUUGCAAACAAGAGAUAAAUUUCUUUCUUUGUCCAAUGAUUAGAGAAUUUAAGCCUCAUACACAUCAUGGGAUGUAUUAUAUUAUGCUCAAAUUUCAGGAAAAAGAAUGAACAGGAGAAAGGGUAAUAAUUUCUUUCUUUAAGAAGGAAAUUAGAAUUAUAUUAUAGUAUAUAUACAGUACAAAGCUAAAAUACUUAAAAACUACUCCACAGAUCUUUUACUUUGGAUUCUGUGGUUAUGUUUUCACUCAUGGACUCAGAUUGAAAAGUCCCAAACUUUGUUAGCAUGCAAGAGAUAUCAGCCAUGGCUUGAUUUUCUUCCUCUGUUAGACAAUGAAAAAUGAUAAAAACAACUUGGGAUAAAACUGUUUUGAAAACAGGAUCUGGCCAUGUGAUUAGGCAACUCUGGGCAAAAAUUGGCUGGGAACUUAAAAUGUAGCAUGAUGCUGAUGGAUGGAGUGCGGGUUACCAUUGCAUAAAGGAGGGGCAUUGACAAUCAAGGCCUAUGCCAUCAGCAAGCAACAGUGGAAGAAAUUGCUAUCCACGUUUGCACAUGGAUUACUAACUGUAACUAUACUUGAAUUUGAAUUAUCCUUUUAUCCUCCAGAAGUGAAGCAUUCAUGAAUAUCUAUGAACAAAUAAGGAAAAUGUUUACGAAAAUAAUAUUUUUAACAAAUACUUGUACAUGUAUGUAUAAGAAUCUUCUGUUUCCAUUUGAUGUUUAUUUGGACCUUUUUUUUAUAUAAUUUUGCAUCAUGUAUCUAAUUCUAUAUUAUCGAUCAAAUCCUAAUUUUAAACUCUAAGAUAUGAAAAAUUUAAAAAGCAUGUGAUGCAGAAUUAUAAAACGAGAUAGACAACGAAUAAAAGAAAAAAAAUUCUAUUAAUAUUCGUAUAUAUAGCAUUGAUUAUACUAAAUACUAAUAUGCAAUAAUUAAGAAUGCUAGUUUAACAAAAUUGAUCAAUAAGGGGGCAUAAUUAUUCAUUGUCUCGACUUAAUAAUCACCCAAAAAAGUUAAAAUUUAUUUUAUUCAAAUUUGGAAGGAGAUUAAUUAAUUAUAUGGUACUGUCAAGUACCGAAUACCCAACCCUUGCCACUCAGCAAUAAAGGAAAUUUAUGGGAUUGUACUGGAGAAAGAAAUCAAAAUAAGCAAAUUUAUUGCCAUGUCUCAAACAUGGCUUAAAUGCAUUGAACUUCCAAUCAACAAUACUCAUUAAAGAUGAUGGAUACUUCUGGAUCAAAAUGCUUGCAUGCAUAUCUGCAGACCGCACAACAAGAAAAUAUUGCCUCUACACUGAUUCUAUGAAUUUUCUGCUUAGACUAGAUGCAAUGGGACUGGUUCGCAUGAUCCACCCUCUUACAGCAUUUAGCUACCUGACUUAGCCUUUGUUAUCUUUUGGUGCACCAGAGGUUUGGCAUGGUUGCAGAUUCUUACACCUGCUGGCUAGAAAUGACAUGAUUUCUUAUAACAGUCUGAAGAUGGGGAAGGGUUCAGUAGUGGAGCUUGCAACUAGUUGCUGGACAUGAAUGGAGCAAGUUGCUAGGGAUCAUUGAAUGCCAAAGUACAGCUAUAGUCCCACAGAUGGAACAGGAACCCGAUAAGGGGAGGGGGCCGGCCAUUGAAUCCCAAUUUGGCAUUUGAUCGAUCACAUCUAUACAGAUAUGCCUUACUAAAUAUCCUUCAGUACAUCCAAUAUUUCCCCACCUACUUAUUUAUAGCUCUUGACUAUUAGGACAUCACCCCUUUGUACCAAGGAAGAACCAUCCCAUCUUAAUUACUAUAAAUUUUUUUCUUAAGUCAAAAUUGUCUGUCCCUGCAGUAUCCAUGGAUUGCUCAUUUGCAAUCAAUGGUACGUAACUUGGGUUAUUGUUUUCAAUGGUUUUACAUAAACUCUUUGAAUGCGCGGCUGCAACCAUAAGGCGGAAUGGCCUCAUUAAUGUUCAUUGAAAUAUCAUCACCAGAUCUGUCUAUUUUUCAGAAUUUUUGUGUCUACAACGUGUUAACACCAACACAUGUUCAAUCAAAUUAGGUGAGGGGAUUACUUUCCAACGGGUCUUGAAUUUUGUAUUACCUGACCAUGUCUCUUUCACAAUUCCCGGUUCCUUCAAGAGGAACCAUUGAAUCAUUGUAUGCAUCAUCACAAGGAGCAGAAGUAAUGGCACAUGGAUAGGCAACUGAUGAAUUAUGUGUAUAGAUUAUUUGAAUCUGAAUUGCAGCCAUUAAUCUUUACAUGUUACACAUGGGAAUCCUUGCAAGUUUCACUUGUUUGUGACUGUUUUAGAAGAGCAUUGGGUUGAAUUAAGUUAAAAAGAAGUCAAAACCAUUUUAUGUUGGAUGCUGCAAUUUCCAGAGAAAAUGACAGGCCUUGCCAACCAACUCAGAGCCACUAAGUUGUAUACUCGAUUCCACCGACUAAUUUAUUUAUUUUCAGUGUAAUGGUGGAAUGAUUAAAGUCAAUAUAUGGACACGUUGCAUUGGAAUGAUUAAAGACGGUAAAGAUGCAGCCAUCUCUAACAAAUAGAUAGUGAUUAUCCUUUUAAAGGAAGGUCAGAAUUUUGGUGUCCCUUGAACUCUUUAUUCAAAGUUUAUUUUGUUGUAUUCAUUAAAAAGAUACAGAAGGAAAGAACAAAAAUGUUUGGGCUCAAAAAGUCAUAGGUAGUCGAUGCCUUGUCGGUGAUACCGAGCUAGCUAGCUAGUAGCUGAGGGGGUAGGUUCUGUUAGAAAAUUAGUAGAAGAAGAAAAGAGAAGAAAGUAAAGCUUGAGGCCUACCAUGGAGAUUCGUAUAAAAACUCUCCAGAUACAACAAGUUUUUUAACAGAAUGGUGAGGUUGUAUCUGUUGUCUUUCAAUAAAUAUAUUUUUUUUAUUUUUAAUAAAUAUAUCUGUUGUAUUUCAACAGAUUUAUUUACAACUUUUAAUAAUUAUAUUUGUUGUAAAUAAUUAUUUUUUUAUUUAUUUUUAUUUUAUUAUUUUUAAAAAAAUUAUAUUUAUUUUUAAAUAAUCACAUCCGAAUAAUUAUCUUUCAACACAUAUUAUAAACUAUUCAACAGGUUCUAGCUUGAAUGACCCUAUACUUGAACGAAUUGAAUCCAGGUGGUUGAGGGGCUCAGUGCAGCAUUCAUGAGCCCAGCUAUGACAGUGGAUUCAUUAUAGGAUAGCAGGCCUUUCCCAGUUUUCUUCUUUCUAUUUAUAAUGGCGGACGGUGGCUUCAAGCCUUCUGAACCGUUGGUGCAGCACUUGCUGCACACCAAGCCUCUGCCGAGGCAACAGUAGUAGCCCAUAGCUUCUUUCAUUUGAAUAUUGUAGACGUACUUGCCUAAUUGGCUUAUACCAAUUGAAGCAUGAGCCCUUGAAGAAAUUUAGCACAAUCUUAUCAAUAUUCCACUCUCUCAAAUUACUGGCUCAGGUUUUCCCUUCAUAUCAGACUUAAAAAAAAAGAAAAUACUCUGAGCUGCUGCUAGUACUGUCACUACCAGCAGGUCUGCUAGUAACCAUGCGUUCCUUGCAACUUCUAUGGGAGUUGAAAAAACUUUUUGAACAUUAAUUCUUAAUGUACUUGUUGCAAAAUAUUUACAGUGGCAUUGAUACAGGGGGGGAACAACUUAAAAUGAAAUCCAACUCUCGGUUGAUGCUCAAGCAGCCUGAUAUCUUGAGCUUCACAAACAGAAAUAAACAUAAAGACUAUUUCAUAGCAUCUUCACUCUUAUCAAGCAUAUUGCUUUCUAGUAAUCAAUGUAUAAGGUAAAAUGAUUAUAGACAGGAGGAGUUCCAGCUGGCAUCAACAGCUCUGAUGAUUUUUUCAUGUAGUUUGGCUCCGGAACAAGCAAUUAUACCUCGAUCAAGACCUUCUAAGUAUAUACCCUUCGAAAAGUCCAGAGGAGAUCCUCCUGCAUCAGUUACCACACCACCAGCCUCCUGCAUGAUAAUCACACCAGCUGCAUGAUCCCAUAUCUUUUCCCUGUAUCCAGUCCUGGCAAACUUCAUAAAUAUUUCAGCAUCCCCUCGAGCUAUGGCUGCGUAUUUCACCAUGCUGUAUACACGCAGAGGUUGCUUCCUGCAUUUGAAAAAAAUAAUAUUUGUUGUUACACAGCUGAAGCAUGUCAUUUUUAUGAACUAGCUCCAAGUCAUGACCAAAGAAUCCUACAACUCUUUCCUUGCUUUCUGUCAUCCAUUUUAACCUUUUUCUAUAAUAUUUGUGCUAGCCAUGCCUUGUAACCCAGGAACCAAGUCCCGUUUGGUGACAAGUCACCAAACAAUCAAUAUAUAACUCAAUUUAAUGUUGUGUUAUAUGUAGUUCGAUUUUAAAUAUUUGUAAAGGGGAAAACAAAAAAUGUGAAUCCCUCCUCUUUGAAAGUCAACAUAUUCUGGUGAUUGGAAUAUAUAGUUCGGAAAUCAAAUAAAAAUGAAAAUAAUAUGCACCUAAGCCCAACACUAUGAGCUAAUCCUGCUGUGAAGGAGUGGCUUGAAUUUGACUUCUCAACUGGUUCACAGAAGGUAGCCAAUGCUGGAUUGUCAAUGGAGGAUACUCGAACAGGUAUUGCAGAGUUUGGCCAGGCUAGCAGCUUAUUCUUCUGGCAUAAAGGCUGCAUCCAAGCCUCACCACUACCUUUCCUUGCAUAAAUCACACAACCUUUAUCCCAUGAUUCAGAUGCUGGUGGGGUCAAUUUAGAUAUAAUUCUGUGAUAGCGAUGGUGAUAACUUAGCCACUCCUUCUUCAUCGGAUAAUUUGGGCAACCAAGAACACCAAGCACAACGUCUCCAUCCUCUAUUAAUGCUAAAGCAACAGCAUACUGAUCACCACGUACAAACCCCAAUGUUCCAUCAACAGGGUCGAGUGCCCAAAAUCUUCCAGUAGGACCUCUAUUUGAAUUGCAUCGACUAAUGGCUUCAAGAACAUCUGAACUCCCAAGUGGCGUUUCCGGACCCUUAAGCCCAAAAAGUGGUGCCUCAGUUAGACAGUCAUUCACUGUUUUCACCACAGCAUCUAACAGGCCAGUUGCAUCAGUCUUAGAGAGGCUUUGAACAUCUUCUUCAGCAAGCAUAGACACAUUUCUACGCCCAAAGGAUUCAGAAAGUAUCCAGCUUACCGUUGCUUGAACACUCCAAUCUGUUUACGUAGCAUAACCAAGCUGAUUAGGCAAUCUAGAAUGUUGUGAUUAGUAGAAAACUACUCAAAUCAAACAUGAAACUUUGUUCACUUCUCCAGGAAUUACAAGUUAUAAACCAGAAGGUUGAUCUCAAUUAAAAACAAGUAAAUUAAAAUAAAGUGGCUUGACUACUUUUACACCACAUUUGCUUUAAUCUGAUGCUGCAUAAGUCAAUAACAAGGUGAUCCUGCCAAAAUAUGCAAACUCGUUAUAUAAUGCCCAAAUAUUGAAAAAGUCCCCAGGAAUUUGGUAUAAUAGCAGCAUUACAGAACAAUGUGACACUUGAUAUUUUGGCAAGUUCCUGAAAAAGAAUUAUUAGUCCAGUAAUCAUCAAUUUGUUGUAAGAUAUGCAGUUACUUAUGUUGACGGGCCUACUUAUCUUUCCUUUCUCAGCAACCAGGAAUAACAGUCACAAUUUACCAUGAAUGAAUGGAUGGAGUUAGCCUGAAUGGUCCAGCAACACUGGCUGUUAAAAGACACGACAUUCCUCCCCACUUACUUGGUGAUCUGUUACAGUUCCUCCCACUCAUAAUUUAUUAAAAACUAAAUGGAAUCUGUGAUCAUUAUUAGUUGUAGAUAUCUAAUCCUUGUCAAAAGUCUUAAUUUAAAGUGCCAAUAGAUUGUUAACAAAAGAUUAAUAAAGUAAUAACAUCAAAUAUCUUCAUAAAACAAUUUGUAAUACAUUGAACCAUCAAAUAUGCAGAAUAAACAGGAAAGAAGCCUUGGAAUACAGGAACUAAAUAUAACCAUGAAACAUAAAAUCAAGAACCAACAAAAGCAAAUAAAAAAACAGCAUUUUUGUCGAGAGCCCAAUUCAGAAAAAGAAAUAAAGAGCAUAAAGGUGAUUGGAAUACCAGCCACUGUGACAGGAGAAUUGUCAUCCUUGGAAUGAACUGGACUGUUGGCUUUAGAAAUCAAACUUUCCUGAACUUUUUGACAGAGUGAACAUGCCAUCUGGACAGCCCUGACAGCAACAUCCAGUUCCUUGGAAUAUUUUUCUGGUCCUGGAGAUGAAAGAGCAAGGUUUCUAUGGUCUUCCAUUACUGAAGAAGAAGAAGAAGAAGAAGAAGAGUAGUUUUGGUUAAACUUCAACUGAGAAACAAUGUGGAAGGACUUGUUUUGGGGGGUUUCUUUCCUAUGCUUUGGGAAGCAGUUUCCUAUAUAGGUUGUUGAUGUUAACUUCUUGGUGUUGGUUAUUCUGGUUUGUCCCAGGAUAUGUGGGACUCUGAAAACCAGGCUAGAGCAAUUUAAAGGCAUCGUGGAGUGAUUAGAUACCCAGUCUCCCUCUUUGUGGUUUUCCUGUGGUCUGGAUUACUUUGCUUUGGCUAUGAGUUACACACAUAUAUAUACCCAUCAGUCAGCUCAAGUUAAUUAAACUAACAAAUUUAAAGACGAUUGGCCUAAAUACCCGUAUCAAUUAAUUACUUAAUUAAAUCAACAAAUUUAUCACUUAUUUUUACUUCCAAUUUUUUCUUGUUAGGCUUCUAUACAAACACGAUAAGAAUAUUGGAUGGUUGCAGAUGAACAAGACUUACCCUCCAUAGGUCACAGACUUGUACCAAAUUAUGCUGGUGUUAGGAAAAUCCCAUAUUGUCUUCUUAUAUUCAUAUAGUUAUGGAAUUAGAGUCCAUUGUUAAUCUAUCAUUAAAGUUAUAGUUAUAGUUGUGUAGCAUGAGAAAAUUGACCAUUUUUCCUUGGCAGGGGAGAGAUGGGUGUCUGUUUUUAGCCUCUUUGUCUCUGUUCUGAAACAAACUAAAAGGUAUCCUAGUUCAGCCACAAGCAAGAUAGUGAUGCAAAAGCAGCUUGGAUGAAUUGGCUGUGUCAGCAAGGGAGAGCAGCAGCUUUCAUUUCUAGCUUGCCAAUCCAUCUCUUGAAUUGCAUUUAACUACUUUAAAUGUACAUUAAAGUCUUUCCCUUUCGCUUUCCCCUGAAGAAUAUAUGGACCUUAAAUCUUUAUAAAGAAGGCUUUAAGAACCCCUUAUGAUCUCAUUCAUUUCAUUGGUGGAUAAGCACAAGUUAAGGGAAGGAAAAUUAUCCCAUGACUUCGCUAUGCACGCCUCUCUUCCUAUUGGUCAUCACCCCAAUCUCUUAACCUGAAUUAAUGUCACCAAGCAUCUAAUCACCAAGGCUAAGGAGAGUGAGUUAAUACCUUCUCCAUUAAUUAAAACUCUGAGAUUUCAUCGUAAUUGUUCUUGGAUCCACCACAGCUUUUUGGCACUAAUCCUUUUUUCUUAGUUUUUUAAUGCAAGUUUUGGGGUAUUGUGUCAUCAUGAUUUCAUCAAUACGUUAUAGAUUUAUAUGUAAAGUGCAGCGUUCCUUUUCAUUUGAGAGGCUUGCGCAUUAACAGCAUUUGAUAUCCAAAUGGAUCAAGCUCUGAAAUCUGUAUCUUCACUAGCAAACAAAAGCUAAAAACAGUUUUUUUUUUUUCCCCUUCUGUUUCUGAUAUGUCGCACAACAUUGAAAGAAAGAAAAGGCCUUCAAUAAUCGAGUUCACGGUCUUGAUUGAUCUCUGGCUCUUGUGAUACAGACAAAUGAUUAAAAUAUUUGGGAAUCAUGUAGAAAAUGGAAAGCCCUAAAGUAAUCAAGUUCAAAAUAAGAAGAACUUGUACUGGUUGCUGUGUGGUGCCUAACGAUUGAAACUAUAACUUUAGUAUCUGCAGCAUUUCACAUAUAAAAAAUUAUCUUGGGGAGUCUCCACUGUUCUAUGAAACAUCCAGGAGCAGGCAUCUCAUUUCUGUAAGAGAUAUGAGUGCUUUGCUGCCCCUGUAUGUCAAAUAAGACAUGGAAAUAAUGGCUCGUGGUUUAAUUCAUCCACAGUCAUCUGCAGCAUGUGAAAGAGAAUUAUGUCUAAUGUGUGAAACGGGAGACUGGAGAGAGUAGUCUGAUCCAUGAUGUUACAUGCAAAAAUGACAGUAAUAACAUUCUGUCAAAGCAAGGAUAAACUCGACUGUCAGUGUAUGGUGCCCACUAACCUCAGUUGCCUUCCACUGCUUGAUAUCCAGUGAUAGCGAUUAAGCCAUUAGAAGCCGCAGUGCUCGAGUGGGAAAAGCAUGUGGAGAUUUUCCCUAUCAGAAAUAACGUUAUGGACAACCGUCCAUGCACUGUGCUUGGAUUUAUCAGGCCAUUUUCAGCAGGGAGACUCGGCCUCUUAUCUUAGAGACCAUAAUUGUAUUACAUUAAAGGGACCAAAAAAACAAAGACUACACAAGUUUCAAUCAAGCAAUACUACUUGAAUGAAACACACCUUUAAUUUUUUAUCUUAUCUUUCCCUUGGAAAGCCAUGAAUCAUUCAGUUGGUUUUCAAGCCUACUUCAGCAAUUCGUUAUCAUGACGUUUGGUGCUUCAUGAUAAUGUUCAUAUUUGGAAUAAAAAGCUGAAUAAACAUGUAACUCCUUCCCUGGUUUCUGAUUCACAGAUCUUUCCCUUUGGCUUUACCGAGUUGGCUCACCUCCAUACACGUUUAUUAGAAUGACAUUUUCACACCAUGAUCACUUUGUCUGCUUCUCUUUCAAACAUGCUUGACAUGAAUCGAAUCUAGAUUAACUCCGUUCUAAUACCACUUGUUAUGCUCUCCUUGAUAAUAGAAUAGCUGUGAUUAGUUAAUUAGACAUCACAUAUCAUCAUCAUCAUAUCAUCAUCAUCAUCAUAUCAUCAUCUUCAUCAUGACAAUAAGAAAACUUCCCAUUUUUGUGAAUUACUACUGCUUUUUUUCCUAAAUUGAAGCCCAAAGAAUGAAGCAUUGAAUUUAAGGUUGCAAUCUGAGCCCACUUAAACUAUGCCCAGUUGAAUUGUCAGAUGGGUUAUAUCUGUGGGCUUCCAUGAUCUGAGAAAUGGGUCCAUUUAUGGAGUACCGAAGCUCUUCAUCCAACCCAAAACGGCGGGGCUCCCGUGUGACAGCGACAGUAUGGAUGCUUGUACCCUAAAAGAUCAAAAGCAUCGGCGAAUUGGUUACAGCAAAGCCUACAUAUGACUCCAGUAAUUUCCAAAAUUCAGGCUUAUAAGAGUUCAGUAUUAUUAAGAGAGCGUUUAAAGGUUAAAAAUCUCUAUUUUUUUCUCUUUUGUUGAUACCUAAAUCCUGUUUUUUAAUUUGUGCUCACACAAGUUCUUAACUCUAAUGAAGUAUUAGUAACUAUCAAAUUUAAUAUUAAUUAAUAUUUUUAUUCACGUGACAUACGACAUCAUUAUAUAUUUUAUUUUAUAAAAAUUAUUAUUGAUCACGUCAUAUGUCAUAUAAAUAAAAAAUAUUAAUUGAUAUUUUUUUAAUUGUUAAUUUUUUAUUAAAAGAUUGUUCAGUAAAGACAUGAUUGCAUAAAUGAAAGCAAUUCAAAAGCCUUUUUUUUUUUUUUUUACAUUUAAGCCGAAAUCUUACCUAUUAAAUCGCUCUCUUUUUUUCUAGAAACUGGCCCCCCUGAUGAUGCUGCAUUAAUGGAAAAGUAUAAGAACAAAUUAUAGAACUUAGGAUUGUUGGUAAAGGAUGACCCUUAUCCUUUCGGAAUCUUGAAUUCAUAUCGUGCCCAACACAGACUUCUCAAGACAUUUGAAAUUUGGUUCCCAAGUAAUAUACUUUUCAAAGCUACAUCACCAUCAUCAAUCGUUUACGUAGUGGAAGAGAAAUAAAUUAUUUUAAUGCUGAAAAUGAGUCACGACUCGGACUUCAGCCUUGUGGCACAAGUAGGUUUUCUCACGAUACCAAUAAUAAAACAGAACCAAAACUAGCCGUUAUCGGUUAUCUCACGACACCAAUAAUAAAACAAAACCAAAACUAGCAGUUAUUGGUUAUAGUUUCACCCGGUCCCUCUAAAGUUGGAGACCAGGAAAAAGUCUCAAUUCAAUGUACCUUUGUCUUCUGUUCUUUCAGUCGAGCUCGCGCAGCCAGUCACCCUUAUGUCAGCCAUGGUGUAAGCCAAGGUCCCGCAUGUUGUCACCCGCCGGUCCAUGAGGUCAGUUUCAAAGUUCAAGCGAGUCCUGUCUUUUUCCAAUGGAAAGUUGAAUUUUUUUUAUUUAUACAUUGAAUCCCCCAACUUUCAUGAAAAUAAUAUUCAUGUGCAAAUUAGAACAUAGAAGAAGCUUUCUUUUAUAAGUAAAUGUCACACCUAAGUAAUGGUGGAGUUAGGAUUUUAAAUUUGAGAGAGUAAAAAAAAAAUUAAUAUUUGAGAGAAUGAAAUUUUAAUUUUUUUUUAAAAAAUAAAAUUAUAAAUAUUUAAAACAAAAAAAAAAUUAUAAACUUUUGAAAUUUGAGAGACGAGGUCCGACUAGCUCCCUCCCUUCGCCUCUGCAUUCAAGUGAUUUAGAUAAUUUUAAAAAAAUUAUAAAUAUUUUAUAUUUUUUAUCGAAUUAGAUUUUUUAAAAAAAUAAUGGUUUUGUGAAAAAUGUAAUAUAAGAACAAAUCUUAAUUAAAUUCGACACAAACAAUUUAUGGUGAUAAAACGUCGAGAUAUUUUUAAAGAAAAUAAAACAUGAACCUUAUGGGUUUAUUAAAUGAGUCUUUAUAAAAUAAUGGUCUCGUGAUAUUAACGUCAAUUUCGAAAAGGAGAUGACAUGGUUAUGCAUUUUUAUAAUAUGAUAAUGACUUAUCUAUGUAGAUCCAUGGCUCAUUUUUAUUUAGACUGCCCCCAAAAAAACUUGGGUGGGGGAAGAAAAUGGGUGACGCCGUUUCUGAUUCAGAAAGCAAUGAUAGUAACAGUGACAGUAGGGUCUGGUUUGAAAGCAUUGAUUCCUUGAACCUAGUCAAAAAAGAAUUAGCCCAUGUGACCAAUAUGCAACUUGGCAACUGAAAACUUGUACUAAUAAAAUAAUCUUUUACGUGAUCCUCAAGAACUUUCAAGCAUAUCCUUUCUCUGAUUCCUAUGUUCAAUUACUUGGCUGCCCAUGGUUUGUGGACCAUCCAGUCCACUUAGCUAUGUAAAAGCAGGAGGUCAAAUCCGACAUAAAAUGUUACACUCCCAAGCGCAGCCGUUACCUAGGGGUGGCCACCUCUAUAUAAAGGAAAGAAGGAAACCUUUCUGGCAACCACACCCAGACUGAAAUUCAGACAUACCACCACAGCCUUUAGUACUUCUGUCUACUUCGCCACUCCAACCUUAAACUCUUCGAAGACGUUAUAUCAGCAAAAAAACACCUAUUAGAUAUGGCUGGUACAAGGAGGGCAAUGAUCAACGGCGGGAUUUACUCUCAGAGAAUCGCUGGCCGUCCGAUUCCCAAGCGGGGUCAAGUGAAGGUGGCCAUAGUGUUGGGCCUGGCCCAUUCUGUUGCUUCUAUCUUCUGUCGGAGUAGCUGCCGGUGUGCAACUGCUCCGUUCUCUAGGUGAAAAAAGACCAGAUUUGGCCUUGGGAAGCCGAAUUUUUGAUAUGAUAGACAUGGGCAUUUACGUCCUUUUGAACAUAUAUGAACAUCCGUUUCUUUUUUUCAUUUUUUUUACUACUUUUAAUGUAGGAGGAUGUAUUAUAGUCUUUGUACGAAGAAAUGUUUAAUUAUAAUUGAAUUUUAUUGUUACUUGUUUAUUUCCUAAGAGUGAAGUGUUUUUCUUUUUCUUUUUCCUUAAUAAACACUAUGAAACAGAGGCGCAGUCAAAAUCAUCCGUAUUUUUUUAUUUUUUUAUUAUAAAUAAAUAUAUAUGAUUACUUUUUAUAAAAUUCUGAAUUUGCUAUUGACUGUGGGCCGAGACCCCUUAAUUUGAACAGAGCAAACAUUAUGAUCUUUCUUUU
rnacentral:lncRNA from 1 species